AUUAUUAUAUUUGGUUAGUUUGUAAUGCAUCUAACUAAGUAACACAUAACAAUUUAUUACCCUGUGGUUUCACACUUUCUCAUUUUAGUACCAUGUGGUUUAAAGUGUAUCAAGUUAGUGUCAUAUGGUUUUAUUUUAAUAUUUUCGUCAGUUUUUUCGUUAAUAUUUUGCUAAAUUAUAUACAAAAAACUUCAGAUACCCCACCUAGAUAUAUCGAAUAUUCAUUUUAGUACCAUUUAGUUUUAACUUUGUCACCGAUUUAACAAAAAAAAAAUUAGUGAAAUCGAUAAUAAAAAGAUAAAAAUGAAACACAGGCACUAAAUUGAUAUGGUUUAAACCACAGGGUACUAAAGUGAGAAAAUGUGAAACCACAUGGGAGGUAUUUGGAGUUUUCCCAAAAGAUAUGUACCUGAUUGAAAAUGGUGGAUAGUUGAGGUACUAAAAAUAAUUGAGAUAGGAUAUAUAGGGGCUAAAGUGUAGGGAAUUAUUAUUAUUAAUUAUUAUAAAGCACACACAAGUAGCCUCAAGAGGAAAAGUUCCACGGGAGGGGCAAUUCGGUCAUUUCACAACCUCUCUCUGUAGUAGUAGUAGUACUACUACUAAUACGAGAGCUCAUCACUCAUGGCGCCCUUCGUUCUCUCUCUCUCUCUCUCUCUCUAUAUCCCUCGCAAUCCUCGAUUCCUCAAAACCCUAAACCCUAAUCCUAAAAUCGAAGGAACCCUAGGUCUCCGUAUCGCGAUUCCUCGCGCCAUUGGAUGAUCCGGAGGGUGCCGCGCUCGAUCGACGUAAGAAGGUAGGGUUUUUGAUCACGGAUUGGGCCUAGGAAGCCCUGGAACAUCGGGGUUUUGGACGUGGGAGAAAGGGAGCAGAGUUGAAUUUUGGAGCUGUGGAGGAUAUAGAGAGAGAGAGAGAGAGAGUGUGUGUGUGUGUGUAUAAAAUAGUGUGGAAAAGAUGUUGUGGAGGGUGGGGACGGGGGGGAAAAGGAGGGGAUUUUUUUGGUUUUUUUUUUUGUGUUUUUGGUUGAGGGAUUAGAUUAAGGGAACAGUUGUGGAUGGCGAGGAUUAGUUUAAUCCCCGCGUAUCUUGCAAUAUCUUGAGGGUUUUAGCCCAAAUCUCUCCCAUUCGCUUCAUUGGAUCUCUCUUUGUUGUGUGUGUGUGAGAGAGAGAGAGAGAGGGAGUGGCGGGGUCUCUUCUUCUUGUUCCUUUCUCUUCGUUGUGGCAAUCGUUGACACUGUGGUUAGCUCAUUUGCGCUCUCUACUUCUCUUUCAUUUUGGGGUGGUUUUAGCCCCAAUCUACUCUACCCUUUUCUCUCUCAUGGACCGCAGUUUCGAUUUGGGCAAUUGGUUUGGUUGAAGCAGGAGGCAGGGAAAUCGCAGAGAAACGCCAAAGUUAUCAUCUUUAGCUCUCUAGGAGGAGGGAAAUGGAAGAGAGAGGCGCAAAUGAGGGGUUUUUGAUGCGGAGGAUUUGAAAAGGUGGGGUUUUUGGGUUGAUGGGUUCGACGGAGAUGGACGUUGGAGGCGGCGGCGGCGGAGGAGGAGGAGGAAGAGGGGGUGGGUGGCGGGGGCAGGGGCAGGGGAGGGGGAGGUGGGGGGUGAGCCGGACAGCGAUGGCGGUGGUGUGGGUCGUGGCGUCGGUGGGGAUGUGGAUUGGUCUCCAUUGGUAUAGUAGGAUGGUGAGCACACUCAAAGCUCAAGAAGGGCUUGUGAGCAUGUGUGAGGAGCGGGCGCGGAUGCUCCAGGAUCAGUUCGCCGUCAGCGUGAACCACGUCCAUGCCCUCGCCAUCCUCGUCUCCACUUUCCAUUACCAGAAGCUCCCCUCAGCCCUUGACCAGGUCUACAAUGAAUCUUCUUUCUCUCUCUCUCAACCUCUACCUCUUUAUAUGUAUACCUGGAUUUCAUGUGUACUUGCUUUUUCUGUUACUUGCUGUUUGCUUCAUUUAAUUUGUACUCUUCAUUCUUUUAUAAUUGCAUCUUGUUUGUUUGCUUCGUUUACUGGUUGUUUACUUGAAUUAAGCUCAUUUCAAGGUUUUAUCUUCAAUGUACUCUCUCUCUCUCUCUCUUCCACUAGUUGUUCGCUCCAUAGAUUGGUGUUUAAAUAUCGUCAAUCAUAGUCCGAAUUAAGAAUUUCUGCAGUGACACCCCAGUAAUCCCACAUCGGAUAAUGUGGAAGAGCGAGAGAACCUUAUAUGUAGCUAACACAUUUAGUACUUAUAACUUGGGCUUAAGCAUUUUGAGCCGGUGGUUUGGGCCCAAUAAAUUGUUCGUACUAGUGGGUUCACUGGGUUGGGUCGUUAUAUUUGGUAUCGAAGCCGCUCUCCCAUAUUAUUCGAUAUGAGACUACUUGGGUGUCACAUCAUCCGAGUUCAAUCAUUUGUUUGCUUGCUCAUGUUUAGGACCACCCAUCUUGCUUAAACUCCACGUUGUUUCUUUGAUUUCAUUUGCACUUAAUCAAAUGUAUGAGUUUUUAUUUGCUUCAUUCAUGUCAUGUUUAAAUAUAUUUUGUCUGCGUUGAAAGUAGGUUUCUUACAAAAUUUAUCUUUGAUUACUUAGAAAAAUUAAUCUUUUCUUAUCAUUCCUGUCACUUCUUGGCUUUGAGCUGUACUUGGUUAUUCCUCUCACUUGUUCUCUCUGUUUAAUUGAUUUCAUUUUCUUUAAUCCGCAUUUUCGUUAAUUCACGUAGAAAAUUCUACUUUGGAUCAUCAUUCUUUAUAGCUUCCUACAUUCUCCUCAUAUGAUUUUUUUUCAGUUUGUUGCAUCCCCAUUUCAUUUUAGAUCGCUUAAAAAAAUGAAACACUUUAUUAUGUUCGGAACCAUCUCUCUGUUUAUAGAUCUAAAUUGCAAUUUAAUCCUUUAGAGAAUCAAAUGUUUUGAUUGUGAGUUUGAUUUCAGGAGACAUUCGCAGACUACACAGCUAGGACUGCGUUUGAGCGGCCGCUGUUGAGCGGGGUGGCGUACGCCCAACGCGUCGUUCACGCCGAAAGAGAGCUCUUUGAGAAGCAGCAGGGUUGGGUGAUAAUGACUAUGAAGCGGGAACCAUCUCCGGUUCAAGACGAGUAUGCUCCUGUUGUUUACUCCCAAGAGACUGUCUCCUACAUUGAAGCCCUAGAUAUGAUGUCUGGAGAGGUGUAGUUCACUAUAUCAUUGUCUUUUCUACUUGUAGCUUGCUUAGCCUGGUUGGAGCUUUCGCUAAAGUGCUGUGUAGCUAGAGCUUUUCAAAGUAGCACUAACAAUUUUGGCACAAAUUCCCCUGAAAACGUAGUAUUUGUGUGCAUGCCCAUAAAAAACCCCUGCCAUGAUAUCUAUGCAAAAAUGGCUUUUCCUUAUAUACCUCCAGCAGGGGCAUGAAUUACAUACAUUUUUCGGGUGCGCGCACAAACAGCAACUUUGUUGGGCAACUCGUGGAGUUUCAUGUUUUUCCAACAGUAUAUAUGUUAAAACCUCUUUUUUGUUAAAAAAUCCUACUUCGGCUUCCUGCUUCAACAGAAGUUGAAGCUUUUAAGUUGAAGCUUCUGCUCAUGGGGCCAGAGGCGAAAGCUCUAUUAGUUUUGUUUGCUAUAUAUGAGUAGUGCUUCUCGGAGUAAAGGAGUUAUAUCAGAAGCUAGGCCGUAUAUAGAUACUAUAGUGCUAAAUUCUAUUUUAUGCUUUUACCGCAGGAGGAUCGAGAAAAUAUCUUAAGGGCCAGAGCUACUGGGAAAGCAGUUCUUACGAGGCCAUUUCGGCUUCUAGAGUCGAAUCACCUGGGAGUGGUCUUAACAUUUCCAGUUUAUCGAUCGGGUCUAUCUCCAGAUGCAACGGUAGAGGAGCGUAUUGAAGCUACCGCAGGGUCAGAUUUGCAACUUUAAUAGAUUUACAGCCGAGAGCUUAGUUUGCAUCUUUAAUUUAGAUUUCGGUCGCAUAGUUUUGAUAUUCUCGUUUAUGAUUUAUUUCCUCUAAUGAGCGGAGACAUUAAAAAAACUAUGUCUGUUUGUUUGAAUUUGAAUUCUUUGCUUGUCCAGUUCCAUAUAUUUAGUUACUCGAUGAGCUGCAUUUUGUUAAUAAGUUUAAUUUGUUUCCAUGAUGCUAUACUUGUUCCACCAUGGCACGAUAACAUUCAUUUCAGGUUUUUGCAAAUUUUGGUUUUUUCAUCUUUAAGCUAUUUACUAUUCAUGUGAACUCUUGAUCGCCUGUAUAAUUUUAAUUUAUAAAAGUUUCUCUUGGUAUAACUAAAAAAUGGAAACUAGCAACUACUGAGAGAUAACUCUUAUCUUUACUUUGGAAAGUAUUCAUAAAUGUAACUAUUAUUUGUGAAUUUCUGCUGCGCUUUCUGUCAAAAUUAUGCUUUCAUAUUGAGAGAAAAAAUUAACUAACUGUUUUUCUGCGUUUCUUCAAUAGAUUUCUUGGAGGAGCUUUUGAUGUCGAAUCACUUGUGGAGAAUCUGCUGAGGCAGCUUGCUGGCAAUCAAGAUAUAAUGGUCAAUGUAUAUGACGUCACCAACAGUUCCGAGCCUCUUAUCAUGUACGGCCCCCAAAUUCCCAAUAACUUCAACUCGCUUUCGCAUGUUUGCAUGCUCGACUUUGGAGACCCCUUCAGAAAGCACCAGAUGGUAUGCAGGCAAGUAAAGUUUAGCAAAUUUUAGCCUAUUAAGCAUUUCGUGUAUCAUAUAAUGCUAAGAUAUCUCGAUGUUCUUAUAUAUAAAUGUUGUAAAUUUUGCUCGACCAGGUAUAGUAAGGACCCUCCGCUUCCUCUUUCAGCCAUUACAACUCCGUCUGGGGUCUUUGUCAUUUGUAUGCUUUUGGGAUACAUAUUAUAUGCGGCUUGGAGCCGCUAUGAUAAUGUUAAAGAAGAUUGCCGUAAAAUGGAAGAGUUAAAGAAACAAGCAGAGGCCGCAGAUGUUGCCAAGUCUCAGGUUAAUAUUAUUUCAAUGAUAUAAUUGUAUGUGUUUGUGCCUAUUUAUUUGAAUCAUUCGAUCAUUGUUGUAUUAUUUGAAUCUCUCUUUUGUUUCUUACCAACAGUUUCUCGCCACUGUCUCUCAUGAGAUCCGAACACCCAUGAACGGCGUCCUUGGUAAUUUCUGAAUUGUCCUUUAUAUCGUAGUUAACCUUAUAUGGAAAAAGAGGACACUUUUCAUUCUCAUUGUGUAUUGCAGGUAUGCUAGAUAUGCUAUUAGAUACUGACCUUAAUUCGACUCAAAAAGAUUAUGCUCAAACUGCACAAGUUUGUGGAAAGGCUCUAAUUUCACUGAUAAAUGAAGUUCUCGACCGCGCCAAAAUCGAAGCUGGCAAGUUGGAGCUUGAAUCGGUAUCAUUUGAUCCGCGAUCGAUUUUAGAUGACGUCAUCUCUUUAUUUUCUGCAAAAUCAAGAGAAAAAGGAAUCGAGGUGAGUUCACUUAAAAAUUGUCUAGUAUAAAAAUGUCCUGUCGUAAUCAGUAUGCUCUCAUUUGUUGUGUUUUUAACAUUAAUCGUGCCUUUUUUUUUUUAUACGCAGCUUGCUGUAUAUGUGUCGAACAAAGUUCCUGAAAUCCUCUUGGGUGAUCCUGGCAGAUUACGACAGAUAAUCACAAAUUUAGUGGGAAAUUCAAUUAAAGUAAGAAUCUUUCAUUCUAUCCGUUUCUACCUUUUUUUCCCCCCUAGCAUGUGCUUUACCAUUUCAACUUUUUAUUCUCUUUCUAUUAUUGAAUCAAUUGCUCUAAGCUUAGCUUUAACUUUCAAUUAUUAUCUACUAAUUUGUCCUUGGUGGACUCCCGAAAGUUUACAGAGCAGGGCCACAUAUUUGUCCAGGUUCAUUUGGCCGAUCAUUUAAAUCUGGGUAUGGAUGCAAAAGUCGAAACGAGUUUGAAUGGGCAUGGAGAUGAAACUAAAGUUGUCUCCGCAGGUGGAACUUUUAACACUCUUAGCGGAUUCGAAGCAGCAGAUACCCGAAACAGUUGGGAAAAUUUCAAGCAUUUGCUAUUAGAAAACGGCUUCAGCGAAAAACCAUUCGAAAGUAACGACCCUAGCAAAGUGACGCUUGUAGUAAGCGUAGAAGAUACCGGAAUUGGUAUUCCAUUUCAUGCGCAAAGUCGGGUGUUUACUCCAUUUAUGCAAGCGGAUAGCUCGACUUCGAGGAAUUACGGAGGAACAGGAAUUGGGCUGAGUAUAAGUAAGUGCUUAGUUGAAUUGAUGGGCGGUCAAAUAGGCUUUAUAAGCCGCCCUCAUGUCGGAAGCACUUUCACAUUUACCGCCGUCCUUCGAAGAUGCGAGAGAAGUUCAGGGGUGGACAUGAAAAAGCCGCUCUCUGAAGCUCUUCCGAAGUGCUCUCAGGUGAAAGCAUUUUUAGUGGAUAAACGACCCGUGAGAGUCGCUGUAACAAAAUAUCAUCUGCAAAGACUGGGGAUUGCAGUUGAUGCUUUCAGUAAUGUCGAUCUGGCAAUUGGCGCAAUCUCCAAACAAAAUAGAAAUACGGUAUCUGGGUAAGUGAGUUUUCCAUCUUACAUUAUGACAUUUUUUUUAUUUUCCUUUUGCAAAUUAAUUUCAAAAUGUAUAUCUUCUCAAUAUUUUUGUUUGUAAUUUUGUAAAACAGGUAUAAAAGGGACCAGUGCAUAUUAUUAAUCGAGAAUGAAUUUUGUUGUUCCGAAACGGGUAUCUCCGUACGCAAUCAACUAUUAGGGCAGAAACAGAAUGGCCUUACGCCCCAAGUUCCCAAAUUGAUCCUUCUGGCUACUUCUGAAUCGGAUAAAACGAAGGCGGGAUUUUCCGUCGAUGCCGUGAUCAUGAAGCCUCUGAGGGCUAGCAUGAUAGCGGCGUGCUUUCAACAAGCACUUGGGCUCGGGCAAAAGCCGAUCAGAGAGAAACCCAAUGGAUCGGCCUUCCUGCACGGCUUAUUGGCUGGAAAGAACAUUUUGGUCGUCGAUGAUAACAAGGUGAAUCUUAGAGUGGCGGCGGGAACCCUAAAAAAGUACGGGGCGAAGGUGGAGUGUGUUGAGAGCGGGAAAGAUGCUCUUGCGCUUCUGCAAUUCCCUCACAAGUUCGACGCGUGUUUCAUGGAUGUUCAGAUGCCGGAGAUGGAUGGGUAAGUCAAAUCUAUUGUUUUUAUUGUUUUAAGUAUCUUUAAUCUCCCUUGGUAUCAGCUUUGCGCGCCGCAAAAGCGAAAACUUCAAUUUGAAACAUUCGGAUCCCUUUGACAAACUUGUUACUCUAAACCCCAGGUUCGAGGCAACCCGACAAAUACGACUGACGGAGAAAAAGAUGAACGAGCGAAUGACGAACGGGGAAGGAACACAAAUCGAGCGGUCGGGAAAGGCCGAAUGGCAUCUACCGAUUUUAGCAAUGACGGCCGACGUCAUUCAAGCGACCUACGAGGAGUGCAUGAAGUGCGGAAUGGACGGGUACGUCUCGAAGCCCUUCGAGGAAGCUCAACUCUAUCAAGCGGUCGCCAAGUUCUUAGUCCCCGACCCCUGAAUAUAGCAAACCGGCAAUCGAGCUUCUUCAGUCAUCUGACCGGGCGCCAAAAUUUUGGUUAGUAGGAUAUCGAGAUACGCAUCGGAAAACAAAACACCACCGAAAAAUCGGAAUUGCAUGCAGCUGUGUAUAGUCGGCGGCGGCUCCGCCAUGUUGGGUUUAUUAUGGUCUGAGUCGGCCACGGAACGCGGUCUCGUCGAGCCAAUGUAGAAAUGUUGUUACAAUAGUGUGUAUCGAUUUUUCCUGCUAUGUUGUAUGAUGUAAAAAGAAAAAAAAAAGCCCCAAAACUCCUCGGAUCCAGCUGUACAAAAGUGGCUUGCUUGUUGAUUUCUUGCUCCACUGCAUAAUUUUGUUCUUGCGGGAUAGUAAUUUGCUGUUAUUUUGUAAACUUUUGAGGGAAGGUAUUUUUUUUGUAUCAGUUUUCAUUGUUGGAUCAUAGUAAUCUUGAGAAGAGUGUUUGAUAAAAAAAAAAGAAAAUUAUACUUUUGAUCCCCAAAUUGUGAGGUGCGUGACAUUUUGCUCCUUAAACUUUAUUUGUUAUAAUUUCGAAUUCGAAUUGUAAAAAUUAUUGUAAUUAAGUCUUACGAUCUAAUUUAAUUAGUUAAAUAUUGUUAAGUUGAAGGGUGGUAUCUAAUUUAUUACCGCAUUAUUAAUCACAGUAUUGUUAAAUUAAUUUUACAUUAACAACGCAUCAAUAUUUAGCUAAUUAAAUUGAGGUGCCAAUUUUGAUUGCGAUAAUUUAAAAAAUUCAAGCCAAAAACUUAAACAAAUUAAAAAUUGAAGACUUAAAAUAUUACGGACCGAAUAGUUUGAGGACCAAAGUGUAAUUUACCCCCAAAAAAAAAAAAGUUUGAACUCCUGCAUCACAAGAGGCAGAAAAUAGAUAUAGUAGCUCUCGGAGGUAUAAGUUUUAAUUUAGUGCUUCUGAUUCGCUAAACUCUUUAGAAUGUUUUUAUAUAUCGAUUCUCUUAACAGCACUACUUAGACAACACUUCGUUGACUUCGUUGACUAACUUUACACCACAGAAGAUUAGAAUUUGCAAGAAAAUAUAUCUUUUUAGGAGAGCUUUUUUUGCUUAGCAAUCAAAUUAUUAUUCCUAUUGAAGGGGUGUUUGGUUACGAGGAAAAUAUCUCUCGAAACAGUUUUCUGACUGAAAAAUACUUUUCCGCCUGUUCGCUUCCCGUAAAAUAUAAUUUUUCUAGGAAACUGGUGUUUGUUGAAUAUAAAAUUAUAUAAACACCGUUAUCUAAUAGCUUAAACUUUUAGAGUACAACGGUUAUUUCAUAUGGUAUCAGAGCAGGAGGUCCUGAGUUCAAGUUACGCCAGACUCCUAGCAUAUUAAUUUCCUCCCAUUUAAUUCAAGCCCACGUCAUGGGCCGACUAAAAAAGUCUCGAGCCCAGACGUGAGGGAAAGUGUUGAAUAUAAAAUUAUAUAAACACCGUUCUCUAACAGCUUAAGCUUUUAUAGUACAACGGUUAUUUCACAGUGUUUUCGUUUUCGAAACCUCUGGAAAAUGGUCGUUUUUCACGGAAAACCAUUUUUCCCCGAAAACAGUUUUCUAGAGUUUUACAAGAAACCAAACACCCCCUAAGCACCUUGCAGUCUUCUUAAGCUCUGGCUUCUGGAAGUGCUACUCUCAGCAGCAGCAGCAGCAGCAGCAGCAGCAGCAGUAAGCAUCCAGCAAAACUGAAGUCCCAGCUUUUUUCCCCCUCUGCAAGAAGCAAAAAUGAAUUAGUAGUUCCAAAUCCUAACUGCAGAGGUUUCAAUUUGAAAACUACUAACAAUUUUACUGCAACAAAAGCCGAUCAACGUAUCCGACGUAAAAAAUAGAUAACAUGGUAGUUCUUCAAAUAGAUUUACUUAAACAACACAUCCAAAUGCAACAUUGCGGAAAAAAACGAAAAAGGAAAACCCUAAAACAAAUUCGCUAUGCGAAUUCGCAGCAUAAGAAGGAAUUAACAGUGGAUCAGCAAACUCCUACCCCUUAAUGCAGCCACAAAAGUUGUCGGAUUUCAUCUCCAAUGCAUAUUCUAUAUAUAAAUAUACAGAGAAAAUGAGAGAACAUUACACUACAAAACAAGAGAAAAGGUGAAAAUGAAAGAGACAAACUAGAAUAUCACACUACAUUGUGAAACAACUCUCUACAAGAAACCUAAGACCCAUUACAAAUCCUGCCUAAGAUAGUUCGAAUAGGUUGCGUCUGUAGUGUAAAAGGACUCGUCAAGGACCGCAAAGACGUUAUCGUCCUUCAUGUCAUCCCAUUUUAGCACCUCUCUGAUAUACUUAAAUGAGUCGUCGAUCGUGCUUCGCUCGAGCGCUUUCAUCUGGAAGACGAAGAGCUUUCGAUCGCAAAGAGAAGCGUAGAGAUCCUUGAACUUCACCGCGAUGAAGUAGUACGCGUGGCUCGCGAGUGACUGGUUCGUGUGGUGCGGUUUCACGGGGCUGAAAUCGGAGAACCACUCGCACACUGUCAAAGGGAUCUUAUCUAUCUUUUCUUCGAAGGUGUCGUACUUGUUGAGGAGGAGGACGAAGGGGGUGUCCUGGAAAGAAGGGUGGUUCACUAUAUUUUCGAAGAGUUCUUUGCUUAAGAUCAUCUUGUUGCAAAGAUCGCCCGAAUCUCGAGGCCACAUUUGGUCGUAGUCGCUAAGAGAGACGCAGAAGAUCACGGCACGAAUGUCCUCGAACAUCUCGAGCCAUCUGCAGCCUUCGUUUAACCCUUUGGAGUCCACGCGGAUAAGUUGGUACCUACGGAACAAACAAACAGAGGAAGCAUGCAUUUAGCUACUAAACAAAUGCUGGUUGAGUAGACUUAUUUGAAGAAGUCGUAGAAGUGUUCUGUUAUAAUCUCCUCAACAGCUUCCUAAUAAGGUUAGAAAUAGAAGCUUCAAAUUUGAGUUCAUGCUUUUAAAGUUUGGAAGCACAUUUUAGUUUCUUCUAACCACUUCGAGCAAGUCUAAAAUUUUUUGUUUGCCAAAUAUAGGGCUUCAAGUUGCUUCUCAAUUAGAGAAGCUAUUCUGAAGCUUGUCCAUUUAAAUUCUCAACACUUUCCCAAGAUAGAAGUAAGAACUUCAAACUGGAGCUUUUGCUUUUGGGGCACCCGAGCUCAUUUCAGUUUCUUAUAACAGUUAAGUGGUCUAGACUUCUCUGUUUGUCCCGCACCUGGCUUCUGCUUCUCAAUUCGAGAAUUGUCGUCUCGAGUCGAGAAGUUGUUUCAUAAGCUGGGCCAAAUGGACACUGCUCACCCCAAAGAGGUCAAGUCGUAUUAUUACAAGCCGUCAAAAGAAGCUUGCUGAUACUAUUAUUGAUUACCGAACAUUCGUGGUAAACUCCACUAAUAAUUGGCUUAGUCUAAUCAAUUAGGUAUAAAGAGGAAAAGUAGGCUAAGUAAGUAACUUAGUUUGGGAUGACGGGCAGUCGAAUCUUCCAGUGGGUGGGUCAGAAAUCAUGCUUUGAUCAUCUAGAGAGAACUCAAGGAAAACAAGGCCGUGGCAGUCGGUGACGCCCUCGGCAUAUAAGAUGUCUUUCUCGGUGGGUUCAUACUCGUUGCUGGAAACUUCAAUUGCCUGCAAAAUGGAAAGAAGAAGAUCCAUAAACAUUGGUGUUAAAUUAUGCGAAACAACAACUUUUUAAUAGAGAGCGGUAUUUUUAUAUUUUUAUAUUUAACGUUUCCCCUCACGUCUGGGUUCGAGACUUUUGAUAGGCCCAUGACGUAGACUUAAAUUUAAUAAGAGGAAAUCAAUUAUGUUAGAAGCCUUGGAGUGACUUGAACUUAGAACCUCUUGCUUUGAUACCAUGUUAAAUAAUGCAAAACAUCUGUUUUUCUCCAAAAGCUUAAGCUGGUAGCGAGCGGUGUUCUUAUAAUUUUAUAUUUAACAAUUGGUAGACAAAGAAACUACACAUUAUUGAAAAUCAAGGAAAUUAGUCUCAGAAUGUUAAAUCAUUUCCGAUGUAGCAAACAAGCGUUCCUUUUUUGCAUUUGUACCUUCGGAGAUACGCAAAAUCACAUAAAUAGCCUUGCAGAGUUGAUAUUUGCAUGCAUGCCUGAUUCCAGAAAACCAAUUUUAUUUGCAAUCAUGCCAGUACCAUGGGAUUAUAUGCAAAACUCAUUUUAUCAUAAAUGCCCCGGCACAGGCACUUUCUCAAAUUAAACAAGGAUUUCAGGGGGGCAAGCACGUAGAUCCCAACUUUGCAGCAUAUUAAUGUAUUUGCGAAUUUGCACUGGUUCCAUGCAAAAUAUCCAGAUAGCAUUGCGCGUACCUUAUCGAGAAAAUAACCAGCAACGUUGGGAAGAGAGUGCAGCUCAUUCCUCCUUUUAUAAGUCUCUUGGAUUGCAGGAUCUCUCCAGAUCUCCUCAACGACAGGGGCGUAUUCACGAGUUGCGGCGGGAAAGAAAGCAUCCAGGUCUCCCAUAGCCACGAUUUCCAGCAGCCAGUCAGAAAAGUGCUUCAACCUUUGGUUUAUUGAAUAUAUACACGAGCAAUCUUCCUUGACUUCGCUUUCCUCUGAUUAUAUGCCAUUAUUAAAUUUUUUCUAUUUCACAGCGUGAACGGUUCAUAUAUCAAAUCAACUUUAGCUUAUGAUCUGAUGUAAUGAAAGAGUGCAGAAUGAAGAUUUAACUAUCAAAUAAGUGUUUCAAAAUGAAAGAAAAUAUCAGAGUUUAGAGUCAUGAAACUUUGACUUCUCAAAGACUAAUUGACUCAUUUUUCCAUCUUAUGCGAGAAAGAAUAUAGCAAACUCGAAUGAGUAGAGCAACAGCAGAGAGAAAGUUUCUCCGAACUUUCCCCAGGACGGUUCAUAGAAUGUGCUUUCACCAUGUGCAUAGUCCAUAAAAAGUGUCACAUGGGUAAUAUUUGGUUUUAAAAUUCCACAUUUUGCUAAUUAAUUAGUUUUUGUGAAUAAGUAAAUUCUCCAAUAAUUUACGAAAAGUGUAUUAAAGGAGUAACAAUGAUUAACAUAUCACCCAACCACCCUAAAUGGGUAAAUCGGAGGGGGGUUUCUAAGACAAAGGAGAGAAAGAAACACUAGUAGCAAACUUUGAAUGGGUAAUCAGGAAUUUUGGAUUAGGAAAUUAGUACCUUCAUCAAAAGCAAAAGAGUUUAUCAGGAAGUCUAAUAUAAUUAAGGAAAAACAUGAUGAUAUUGUACAUAAAAAAGAAUAUUAUAGUGCAUUGUAAUAGCUGCACAAAUGUAGAGCUAUACCGGAAGGGUGGGACUCAUCAGCAUACAGCCCACGAUUCCUUUUCUCCUCCAAAGCUUCAUCCUCAAACUGUUCUCGUCCUUCAAGCAAUAUACUGAGAUACUUGUAGAGGUUGCUUUGAAUCAUGAGCUUCAUACUUUGCAUUUCUUCGGCAGAAAACUUGCUUCCAUACAAGAACUUUGCCUAUUUAUUUUGAGAGAUAAGAAAAUUGUUUGGUUAUCGUGGAAAAUUGUAAAGCCAUCUUCUUUUUCAACAUUAAAAGGCAAUUGUAAAGAUGAGCCUUCCUAUAGAUUCUUGCAAGACGAUAUUCAGAUAAUUAAAAAUUAUCAGAUAUUAUAUCAAAAUACAACAACGUAGAAGAACUAGUUCAUAGAAUGGAUAGCUGUAUAACUUUGCCACUUGUGCGAGUGAAAGAAAGAGCAUAAACUAAAGAGGGUUAAUUACAAAUAUACUCUCUCCGGUUUGAUCUGAAUUUCAACUUUGACCGCAGAGUUUCAUUACCAUUAGUCCGUGUAAGUUUGGCAUCGAUUUCAAUUUCAUCCAAAGACUCAAUUUUAACCAUGGAAUCCUUGAAGUUUGACCCCAAUUUUAAUUUAGUUCUCAAAGUUCCUGUUUUAACUAAAAAAAAGAAAAAUGAGAGGAUCCUGUUUAGUGGUGCCUUUUCCAGAUGGUAUAAAAUAGAACUUAAUUGGUCCGUGUAAUAAUCUUCAUGCUUUGUGAUAUGAGGAUGAAAUUGAAAAUGGAAAUCAAACUAUUAAGCACAAAGUUUGUAAGCUGAGUAAGAAGGUGAGUAGCAGCGGUACCUGUUUAAAAAUGGUGCUCGAUCCAGAACCCUCUAGUCCAAGCAACAAAAGUUUUUGCACUCUUCUUUGCUCUAGAUACUCCGGAAUUAACCUACUUGAGGGUGCAGAGGCAUCUUCUCUCAACCCAGGAGUAUUCUCAGGAGGUGUUGGCAACGAGAACAGCGAACAAAUAAGACGAGUCGACGCCUAUCUAGCAAAACAAAACGUAAUAACUGCUCAAUAAUUUAACAUAGAAGUUCAUCAACUUCAGGCCUGCUUUUGCUCAGCUGGAGUUUCUGGAGAAGUACUUUUUGAGUAGCUUUUGCAGGAGUUUCAAAUUGGAGCUUCUAUUUUUGAAGCACAAAAGCUCAUUUUAAGCUUCUUGCCACGACAAAAGCUCCAAACUCCAGUAUUUUACAACUGAACAUCUGCUUUCUAGAAGCUUCAGGUUUUUGAAGGAGAGACGCUGUUUCCCAGAAGGCAAUCCAGACAGACAAUUAUGGCAGCCAUUUGCCAACAGAUGAAUGUACCUUUUCCCAAAUUUUUCCUCUUAUUAUAUUCUGCCCCUCCUCCUCAUACGAACCAUCAUCAUAUACCCAGAAAUGAGUACCUCGUGGGCAUUGUACAUUGGCCAGCUGAAACGAAGGUCAGUAAAAUCUCUCAUCAAGUUCCCACAUAAGCUUAAAAGCUUGACUUCAAAGGCUGUCAAAUUACCAGCAAAACCUAAGCCACUUGAAAUAUCAAACCAAGAGCAAAUUGAAUAUCCAGAAGUUGGGUGAUCUAUAUAUUUGGACACGUCAUAUCAGUGACCUAUUCUACUCCUAAAUGAGCGACUCAGUUACAGUCACGCCGCAGCGUUGAGAGGAAGAACACUUGAUACUCUUAUUUGCAAGGUCUAAUUCACCAAAUCAUGAAAUUGAAUAAAUGCCACAUUAAAGAAUUAGAGUACGAAACAACUACAGCAAUAUAUUUAACCUCCCAGAAAAACCGAAGUGCUUACCUUGAGCACUCUGAGCUCCAGUUUAGUGAUUUCACGGCCAUUUAUAAAGACCUGUGUGUUACCAUUACUAGCAUCGGGCUGUAGCUUUCCUCCCACAUUUAGCUUCGAACUAAUAAUCUGAUCAGGCUUCUCACCUUCCUGCCAGUAAACAAAAUAAUAAAGAAACAUAUAACCGCUCGAAUGAGAUCACCGGAACAAAGCAGUUGACGAGUUAAGAAAUAAGAGAAUUCAACAUUAGCAGCUGUUUUAAUCAAAAAGAGGUAUUCUAGUACACAUCACCAUAAAUAAGCUGCUAUGGGACCGGUUUAGGGUUUAGGCCCUUUAGGGUUGGUUGGUGGACAACCUCAGGAAAACUUCUAGUUUUUCAUUAUUCUAGCAAAAGGACAAAAAAUAAAGUAGGAUUUUGCUCUACUGGUACAAACUGAGUUGUUUUAGGAUAACCUGAGAAUAACUAUUCCAACCAAUCCCUGGAGUAUUGUUAUCAUUCACUCUAAACCCAAUUGUCCUUGUAAUUAAUCAUCGAAGUUUCCCUCUCCACUACGGUAAUUACUGCAAACAUUGCUGUUUAACUGUGACGUAAAACCAAACAAGAAACUGACACAGUUCCUCGAUUAUCUUCGAAAAGUGUAGUAAAUCUAUGCCCUUCAACAAGCAAAAAAAGUUUUACGGAAUUACAAUUCAAUGUAUGUAUGUUUAACUAUCAAUCUAUGUGACAUUUACUAUGAGGGACUGAUAUAGACACUAUAUCUUAGCUCCCAUUUACUACCAAAUUGUGAAAGAUACAGGAGAUACAGCACUAUCACUCAUUCACUAUUCUCCAAAUUUGACCAAUUAUGCAUCAACUAUCAUAUCUAUAUAUCAAAUCAAACAAUAAUAUAACCAACAUCAAAGGCAACAUGUUCAAAUACCUUUCCCCAGAGUCCCGAAUCCUUGUCGUACCAGUAUCUCCCGGGCCUGAGCUUCUGCGGCGGAUUCGGGCACCCCAAGAUCUCGUCGAGCUCCUCCUGUGUCAGGUCAUGGCCGUUGACGGUGAGCUGCCCGGGCCGGAGCUGAUUCGCGGCGCACUCCCUCUCGGCCUUCAUGAUCUGCUGGACCUCGCGGGGGCUGAAGAGCUUGGAGAGCAUCCGAGAGCUCUUGCCGAGGGCCGAUCGCUUCGGCUCGGCGAUCGGGCGACCGAUGCAGCCGACGCACUUGCGCCCCUCCGGCAUCGACCCCAUCGCGCGCAGCACGCAGUCGCCGCAGUAGCGCGCGCCGCACGCCAAGCACGCCUCCCGCUCCCGCAGGAUGCCCCCCUUCCCGCACCGGGCGCACGCCCCCCUCCGCCCCACCCCGCCGCCCGUCGCCGCCGCGGCCGCCGCCGGCGACGACGACGAUGGCGGCCGAGGCGGCGAUGCGCCGGCGAUCGGGUCCCCGGGCGGCUCCGCCGCGAGAUCGGGCUUCGUUGUCGUCUCAGGGCCGCGUUGAGGAGGGGAGGCGGAGGCGGAGGCGGAGCUCGCGUCGGCGGCGCCGUCGGAGUCGGGCUGAGGAAGCACCGCGGAGGAGGAGCGCGCGCUCUCCGUCGCCGCCCCGCGCGGCGGAUCCGCGCACCGGGAUCGGGCGAAGCGGGAGCCCCUGGGAAGCGCCGCCGCCGCCGCUUCGGCGGCUGCAGCGGCAGCGGCGGCCGCCGCGGAGGACGAGGAAGAGGAGCUCCGAUUCUCCAAUGGCUUGAUCCUGGGGACUUCGUAGGGUAUCGGGGGCCCAUCAUACUCCACGGAGAUGGAGUAGUCGAGGUGGUCCUCAUCGGGCAACGGAGCCCCGGGGGGGAGCAUCUUCCUCAGCGCCUCCUCCCACGAGCUCGCCGCUGCCGCCAUUAACGCACUGAACCUCAAUAUAGGGUUCGUGCUAGGGUUAGGGUUUUGGGGGCCAUUAAUGGAGCUCGGACAACAAAACGGGAAAAAAGAAGAAGAAGAAGAAGAACGAGCAAGGAGUCGUUGAGAAGAUAACGGAUAGAUUUAACGGAGAGGGAAGAGUUAAAAGCGCUAACGACCGUUACAUUUAACGGCAAAUAUAACGGCCUUUGAGACAGAGUUGACCCCCGGAGCCUUUUGUUACUUCUCGCGUUUAAAAGUCUAAGCGUCGACAAAAUUACUAAAACAACCCUGCACGAUGUAUGGUUCAAUUUAUGGGAAACCCCCCCGACUAUAGAGGAAUUUGAAACUACCUACUCAACUAUUUUCUUUUUCUCAAAAAGUUUCUUAAAUUUUUAUUGUUUUAAUUCGAAUUAGUUUAAUCAAGUGCAUUAAAUCAAAAACUUUUAUAAUAAUUGGUACUACUUUUUUGCGUUUAAUUAUUGUAAAAAAAUAAGGCAAUUAAGGGUGUACACAGUUUAGUUCCAAACCGAAUCAAAUCAAAUAAAACUAUUUGGUCCAGAUUAUAUAAUUUUUAGUUCGAUUCGGUUCAAUUUUAAAAUUUACUAAUAUUUAAAUUUUGAUUUUGGUUGUGUUUGAAUAUAUUUCUUAAACCGAAAAGUCAAUAAGUAAUGCUUUUUACACUUUUUAUCUAAACUACUUAUUAAAAUUUUAUAUUUAUGAUCAAUUUUGAUCAUAUAUCAACACAUUUUGAAAAAUUCUAUGAUUUAAUAAUAAUUUACUUUUAAAUUGUAAACUAUAAAUUAAUUAAAAAAAUAAUUGCAAAAUCAAUCCAAACUAAAUUAAUUCAGUUUGAUUUGGAUUAGUUCUGAAUAUAAAUAAGUUUGUGUUGGUUGCAAUUUUUUACAAACAAAAAAAUUCAGUAUAAUUUAAAAAUUGCCUAAAAAUUGAAUCGAACAGAACUGAUUAUAUCCAUGUAGGCAAUAGAAAUUAUUUAAAUCACAAUAAUUAAAACAAAAUUAAGCGAUGUUAAUUGAAUAAAAAAGUGUGGUGUACUUUAAAAUUCCCAAUAGUUGAGGGCCCUAUUAGUUAUGAAUCGCUAAUUGAUCUAAUCUUAUUUGCUAAAAAUGAUUAAAUAAAUUUAGUAAAAUUACCAAUAAAUUUAAUAAGAUAUUUACAGUUUUAAUUAAAGUCUCUUAAUUUUAAAAAAUUAGAAGUCGAGGCCUUAAGGGUCUCAAUAAAAUUUUUUGUAAAAAAAAAAAAAAAAAUCUGUUGAUGGGGUUUUUUCAAAAAGGAUUAUGUUGAGGGGGGUCUCUAUACAUUUUACAUUAAAAAACUAAAAAUAAUUAAUAUUUGAGGGGCAUUUUAGUAAUUUUAACUUCGCGCAUGUUUAUUUCGUCCGGCGUUUUGAUGCGACUAUAUCGCAGGAACAUUUUUUUAACUCCAUUACUGAGUAGUAAAAGCGCGAGCCAAUUAAAACUUGCCACGCCAGUGCACUUGGUCUACUGUACGGUUCAUUUUAGAAAGAACGGCGUGGGGCCCACAGCUGGUAACCGUUGGAUCAGAAGGCAACGGAUGUGAUGCGCCGUCGGGGCUUUUGCCUGCACCUGGUUUAUAGGUGCGCACCAUACACCGCACCAAUAAAAUUACUUGAACUUGACCCGUCAGUGAACUUGGUCUACCCAAUUUUCCCCAACGGUUCACCCGGACAAAUAGGACGGUGUGGGGCCCAUAGCUGGUACUGACCGUUUGAUCACAAGGGAACGGAAAUGAUGGGACGUCGAAAUUUUUUUCCUGCACCCGGUGUAUAACUACAUCUCAUGCACCGCACCAAUAAAAAAAAACGUAAUUAGCUUCAAUUCAUUAAAAACAUAAUUAUGUUUAAUUUUGAAGUGAAAAUAUUAUUCACUAAUUCAAAUCAAACAAAUUAAAAUAUUAUGUAGUAAAAUCAAAAUUUUUUGAAAAUUAAAUCGUUGAAUCAAAAUCGCUCAUAAUUCAAAUAAAUUUUCUACAUUUUUAUAUAUUCAUAAAAUUAAAUUUUAAUUUAAAAUAUAUUAUAUAUUAUACUUAACUAGUGAACCCGUGACAAAUGGCAUAAUUUUGAAAACAAGAAACUUUAUGGUCAAAAUUAUGUGAAAUUCAAAAAUUCAAAUUAUCCUCUCCGAUCAGAGCUUUAUUCUAUAUGAAUUUAGUGAACUCAUUUAAAAUUCAACAAUUUACAAUUAUUAAAAUUUAAAUCAUACUUUAUCAUUCGGAUUUAUUCUCUACACAUUUUUUCAUAUAUAUUUUUUGCAUGAUCCUAUUAUUUUAAAAAAUUAAUUUUUAUUGAGGGUGUUCGGUUUCUCAAAAAAUUAUAAAAAAUAUUUUAUUAUUUUGCAGGAAAAAAGCUUUCUAAAAAAAAAAUAUUUUAUUUCACCUUUUCAUUUUUUGGAUAAAAAAUUUUAAAAAUAAAAAAUUAAUUUUUCAUAAGAUCCGGAAAUAUUUUUCUACGAAUCAAACGGAUAGAAAAAUAAUUUUUCAAAAUAUUUUUUGGAAAAUCAAACAACCCCAAGUUAAUGAUGGAAUAUUAUCAAAGUGUGGUGUAGUGGAGUGUACUUAUACACCCGGUGCAGGGAAUAAUGUUUUUGCGGUGGGGUGGGGGGAGCUCUGUUUCGAAACGGACGGUUCACGAGGGUGGGUGUACGGAGUGUCGACACGGGAUUACGGAAUCCGACCGUUGGAGUUUAAAAUAAAAACUUUUUUUUGCAUUUAGCUCCCUCAUAAAUUUUUUACUAUAAAUACAUUUCUAAAAUUUAUAUUUGCAAGAUUGGUUCUAUCCCCGCCACGAAAACACCACGCGGGCACCACGUGGACGUGGCAGUAGCUUAAGUUGAAUACGGUGAACUAUUCACUAUAUUUGAAUAAGUAAAUAAUUCACUAUAUCCUUUCUAAACCCUAAAUCUAAAAUAUUACAUAAUAUCAUAAUAGAAAAAUAAUGAAAAAACUUCCAAAACUCCCCCUUGUGGUUUCACUUUUUCUCACUUUAGUAUCCUGUGGUUUAAAGUGUAUCAAGUUAGUAUCUUGUGGUUUCGUACUUUCUCACUUUAGUACUCUAUAGUUUAAAAUGUAUCAAGUUAGUACUCUGUGGUUUUAUUUUUGUAUCAAGUUAGUACCAUGUGGUUUUAUUUUUGUAUCAAGUGAGUAACCUAUAGUUUUUAAACCACAUGGUACUAAAGUGAGAAAGUGCGAAACCAUAGGGUACUAACUUGAUACACUUUAAACCACAGGGUAUUAAAGUGAAAAAGUGCAAAACCACAGGAUACUAACUUGAUACACUUUAAACCACAUGGUACUAAAGUGAAAAAAAGUGAAACCACAAGAGGGGUAUUUGAACUUUUUUCAGAAAUAAUGAAAUAUAGUAAAUCAUUCAUCGUGUUCAAAUACAUUCGGGCUCGCGUGGUGCUAACGUAGCGAGGAUAGAGCAAAUUUUAUAAAUAUAAAUUUUAUGGGGCUAUUUGUAGAAUUUUUUUUUAAAAAAACUAAAUACAAAAAAAACCCAAAAAACCUCAAAAAUAAAUAAAAAAAAAGUUUUAGAAUGAUGAAGUGAAUUGUUAUUGGUGGGUCCAUUCAUUGAACGAAUUGGAUUGGAUUCUCUCUAAUGUUAGUGAAAAAAUAUAUCUAUUUACCUUCUGUGGGUACCGCCAGAGUUAGAUCAGAUUUACUGUAUCUAUUAUGAACAUCAUAAAAUUUCUGUAAAUAUUUAUUUUUUUAUUUUUUAUUUUUUUGACUUUUAAAAUUUUAUAUAUUUAUUGUUCUUUUGUCUGUAUUCUGUCACUAUUCCAUUCAUUUUUUAUAAAUAUCGUUGAAAAUGAUAGAAAUAAAUUAUUUUUUUUUUAAUGAAACAAGUAAGGUAAUUUAGGCCAACCCAAAUAUAAAAAGACCUGUAUUAAAUUAUAUUAUAUAUUAUCAUUAGGCCAUAAAAAUAUGCAAUAAUAAUAAUAAUAAUAAUAAAUAUUNAUAAUAAAAUAUUGCAUUUUUUAUGGCCUAAUGAUAAUAUAUAAUAAUAAUAAUAUUAUUAUUAUUAUUAUUAUUGCAUAUGUUUAUGGCCUAAUGAUAAUAAAUAUAUAAUAAUAUACGACUAUAUUAGCUUAACAAUGGCAUUUUCGAAAUAAUAACCAACUUUAAACACAUUUUUAUAACCUAAUUAAUAAUUAAGUAAUUAUUUAUUUAUUUAUUAUAUAUAAAUCCUAUCGUCAUCUCUUUACGACCCUUCGAGUCGUUCGACGACGCGUGCGAAACGUUUACGCCGUGCCCUAAAUCCUAAUAUUUUCCACAUUUUAAUUUUUUUUCUCAUUAUAUAUUAUAUAUAUAUCUCUCGAAUUCUCGACUAAAUCCCCAAACCGUAACCCUAGCCCCUUUCGAUCUCCGUUUCCACCAAUUCCUCCGCUGGUAAGGGUUGUUCUUUCGAUCAAUUUGGUUCCUACCUCGUUGUUUUGGAAUCCAAUUUGGUUCCCCCGUUGUUACCGAUUUUGUUUUGAAUUACGGUUUCGGUGAUUUGGGGCGAAAUCGAUCUCGAUCGCAUGGAAGCGGCCGCGGCUCUUCGAUCCCCAUUGUACCUAUCUCAAACCCCUAAUUUGGGGGCGAGAUCGCGUUUUCUCGCUUCGCCAAGGCCCAGUUCGCUCUCUUUCGAUCCCAAGUCCCGAUUCGCAAUUGGAUUCCUCAAGGUAUGGUUUAUAAAACCUUCCAUUUGAUCUUUUAUGUUGGUGGUUCAGUAAAAAGUUCCAAUUUGGUUUGGUUUGGCCUCUUGAAAGAGCCAAUUUGGUGUAGAUGAAGCUUUAGGAUUUGGUUUACGACACCUUUAAUCUCAUCUAUCUUGUUGAUGUUGCUGUAAAAUGUUUCAAUUUGGAUGCAAUUUUGGUGCAGUUUGGUUUGAUUUGGUCUCUCGAACGAGUCAAUUUGAUUAUAGAUGGACCCUUAGGAUUUGGUUUAUAAAACCUUCAAUCUGAUCUAAAGAGUUUCAGUUUUGACGCAAUUUUGGUGCAAUUUGAUUUGAUUUGGCCUCUCGACAGAGUCAAUUUGGUUCUAGGAGGAGCAUUAGGGUUAGGGCAUCGUCGGCUACCUCGUCAGGGUCUUCUUCUUCUUCUCCUAUAGCCCCUCUUCAAUUGGAGUCCCCGGUUGGGCAAUUCCUCUCCCAGAUCCUCAUUAGCCACCCCCACCUCCUCUUUGCGGCCGUGGAGCAGCAGCUGGAUCAGCUCCAAACUGACCGAGAGGCCGAGAAGAAAAAGGAGGAGCCGACCCCUUCCGGCAGCGAACUCGUUUUGUACAGGUAAUUAAUAAGCAAAAGGGUUAAUUGCAAAUAAACGGCCCGUUGGGCCCUGCUGUGGGGUGUAGUAGCGCUACUUGGGGAAGCACUAUUAGGAUAAGCAUUUUCUAUGGUAAAAUUAGAAGCUUUAGAUUGGAGCUUAUGCUUUCGGGCCUUAGAAUCACGUUUCUACUUUGAGGUCGAAAUUUGUUAUUAACCCAAAAGGAAACAAAAGCCAAUGAUUUUACGCUGUUUGAUUAGUAAUUUCAGGUUAGUGAAAAAAAUGACAUCUUUUUAAUGCUGGGAUUAAUAGGAGAAUCUCGGAGGUGAGAGCCAAGGAGAGGAGAAGGGCUUUGGAAGAGAUUCUUUAUGCAUUAGUAGUUCAAAAGUUUGUGGCGGCUGAUAUCUCGUUAGUCCCUGCCCUUUCCCAAUCAACCAAGCGUUCUCAAAGUGCCGAUCAAUGGCCUUUAGAGGAGGAAGAGAAGCUCGAGCAACUCCAUUCCCUCGAAUCGUACGAAAUGAUCAAGAACCAUUUAUCUCUAAUCUUAGGGCAACGGUUGGCCGACUCUAAUUCUGUCGCGCCAAUCAGCAAGCUUAGGGUCGGGCAAGUCUAUGCUGCUUCUGUGAUGUACGGCUAUUUCCUGAAAAGAGUCGACCAAAGGUUUCAGCUUGAGAAAUCGAUGAAGAACCUUCCAUGGGGAACAGACGAAGAGGAGAGCGCCAUUAAACGAGCUAUACGGGAUGAGUCCCGACCUGGGGGGCCGACCCCUUCUUGGUCCGGUGGGCCUGGCCAAGCAGGGAAAUCCAGCUUGUUGAGGUCUUACGUCAUGUCCUUCGAUCACGAGACUCUGCAGAGGUACGCAACGAUAAGGUCGAAGGAAUCCUUUAGCAUCAUUGAGAAGCAUACUGAGGCGCUAUUUGGGCGGCCCGAAAUCGUAAUCACGCCUCAAGGGACUAUCGAUACUUCUAAGGACGAGCUUAUUAAGGUAAGCUUUGCAGGGUUGAGAAGGCUGAUUUUGGAGGCUGUGACUUUCGGGUCAUUCCUCUGGGACGUGGAGAGCUACGUUGAUUCCAGGUACCGUUUUGUUACAAAUUAGCUGAGGUCAGAGAUCAGAUUUUGAGCAGCUGAGUAAUGGUUAUGUUGGUUUGAAGGUUUUCCGUCAUCUUUAAUUCAAGUUGCAAGGUAUAAAGGUUGUCUUCAGUGAUUGUUGACUGUUUCCCUUUGUACAUGUUGGUGAGGCUCUUUAAUGUUGUACAUAGCGAUUCUCUUAGUUUGACUGCUAGGACUCUCGCAGUUGCUAUUAAUCUCCGAGACAUUUCUUCUUUCAAUGUAAGUUGCAUUUUACAUUGUAAAUUUUGUUAUGCUGUUUAAUGCGCACUCUAGUAUCUCCACUUUGUAGGAGCUUCUUCAUAUCCCGACAAGAUUGACAGGUGUUUGUGCUUGAAAUCUGCAGUUCAUUAUUGCUUAUGACUUUGUUAAUCUGGCUGUAAAAUGCUAUCAUGGGUUUGAAAGCCAAUACAUUUAUGUUUGCCCCUCACAUUACCAUGAACCACAUUGAUUAUCAUAUUGAGAUAGUUGAUCAUUUUGAAACUCGACCGUUUUCCUCUCAAUUGGUCAUGGAUAGCAUUACUAGGAAGUCUAUUUUUUCUACCGACUUGAUCAUGGAUCGCUUACGCUGUGGAGGGAAAAGAAAAAAAUAUCAUAUCAUUGACACACUGGUGGUAUAUAGAAGUCUAAACACAAAUUCAUUAGGCGAAAUGCAAUUAUUUUUUAAUGUUAUGGUUUGGUCAUCUAUGGUGAUACUGAUAUUUGAUUUGUUAACCAUUCAAUAAAAUACCGUCAGUAUCAAAUACCAAGAAAGUAUGUUAGCAAGUCUCCUGAAAUGCAGUUGAUAAGAUAGCAUUCCCACGUAUCAGUAUAUAGGUGUUUCACCUUUUUCAAUUCAAUGCUCGACUCAUCUGCCAUGUUAAAAAAUCCGAAUCAUCAGCUGCAUUUGAGGGGAUACUCAAGGGCACCCAGUGCAUUAUGCUAAUAAAUUUACAGAGAAACCUGUGGAUCAAAGGAAAUAUAUAUAGGAUGAUAGGAAGUGUUUAGUUGGUUUUUAGAAUCCAUGCAUUGUAAAUUAUUACCAUCUCUAAAUGGCUUUGCAUCUUAAGAGUUGAAGGCUUAAGGCUUCAUUUGUAUAUGAUUACUUGAUUCAUGCCUUAAUAUAUAUUGCAAUACUAAGCCGCACAUGUAAAGAUGCACUAUUCCAAUGAUAGAUCAUGACAUAUGUUUGGCCAACUUAGACUCUCACUUCUUAGGUAAUCUUAGGCGAUUUCUGCGUUUGCAGGUAUGUGACAUGACCUGUUGUUUCUUUAUCCAUUUUGAAGUUGUUGUUGUUUUCGAUAUUGUAGAUUCCGCAAAUCCUCUUAUAUGCGACUGUUCUUUCUUAUGUUUAUCUAUCUUGGAUUCAUGUUUUUUUUUCCUUCGCAUGUUUUUGAUGUUCUUCUCCUGCUAUUUGACUGUUAUCUGUGGUUCUUGAAAAGCAGUUGACGAAGCGAGGCGUAAGUAGCAAACAUCUUUUAUAUUUGUUGCAGAAAGCGAAACGCCGUAGCAGUAAAACUUGUAUGUAAAAUUUUUCUUAGUUGACCUAACAAUGGAUUUUACUACUAGUCGAUUACUUGCCAUUUACAUUGAGUGUAUUAUCAUCUAGUUCAACUCGUUGUGCAUCAUCUUAGGUGUUAUUCUCCAACUUAGGUGUAUGUGUACCGACCCAACCUGCUAGCAGUAAUAAUUUGUUGGAUUCAAACUACAGAUCCAAAAAUUCUUGAGUCCCUGUUAGUCCCUUAUAAUAACUCAUUAUCUGAUAUGAGACUGUUGAGGUGUCACAUACUCCUUCUGUUUAGGUCGUAACGUUUUCGUCAGUCUGGUUUCAAUCACACACACAGCUUAAGAUUCACUAGGCGAGAUGUGAGACCAAUUUCACUCUUUCGAGUGAUAAUCUGGCUUUGAUACCAACUGUAAUAUCCUGGCCCUACUAAUACUAAUAACUCGUUAGACCCAAAUCAUUGGUCCAAAAUACUUAAUCCAAUUAUUAUUAUUAGGAUCUAUGAUCUUUUAUAUAAACCAUUGUUUAACCUAUGAGUCAUUAAUGCUAGCAUCCUUUGGUAUCUAUACAUGGACUUUAGAGAGUGUGAUAAAAAUUUAAUUAUUAAUGAUUGCUUAAUGAGAAAGCAGUGCCCUUCUGAAUCACUUCUUGAUCACCCCUUUUUUUUUUUUUUUUUUACUUUUUAAAAGUGAGGAACUUUUCUUUUUAAAUUGCUGUAGCAUUUGUCUAAGCCUUCUAAAUCUUUUAAUUAGGGUAAAUUGCACUUUUGGUCCUCAAACUAUGAGGUGGGUGGCACUUUGAUCCUCAAACUUUAAUUUGUUGAAAUUUCUGGUUCAAAUUUUCAGAAUCGUUGUAAUUAAGUCCUAUAACUCAAUUUAGUUAAUUAAAUAUUAAUGCAUCGUUAAUGUUGAGUAAUGUAGCAAUACUAUGAUUAAGGAUGAGCCGACCAUUAAGAUGCUAUAUUACUUUUGCUUUAUAUUAGUGAUGAGUCAAUAUUUAGUCAGUUAAAUUAAGUUGUGGAACUCGAUUGCAACUAUUCUGGACGUUCUUGUUAGGAAUUAUAAUAAAUUAAAAUUUGAGAACUAAAGUAUCGCCGAUCUCAUAGUUUGAGGACUAACAUGCAAUUUACCCUUUUAACUAUGGUGAGAAACUUUUUCAUUUUGUGAAGUUAUUUGGAAAGCCAUUGGUAAUAAUUAUUUUCCUUUGCACACGUAUCCUUACAAAUAUACAAAAUUAUUUAUGGAUCCUUGAAAAGUUGGUAUUCGCAUGCAUGUCUGUAGUCGUGUUUACAAAAUGGUUUUCGGUUUGGUUCGGUUUUGAAAAUAGCUAAAAUUCGGUUCCGGUUCCGGUUCAGUUUUAGUAUAUUCCUUGAACGAACCGAACUGAACUAAAAAUGGAAUAGUAAUAUUGUAUACAUUUUUUAUUUUUUAAAAAACUUCAAAUACCACCCGUGAUUUCGCACUUUUUCACUUUAGUAUCACGUGGUUUAAAGCAUAUCAAUUUAAUACCCUGUGGUUUCAUUUUUUUUCUUUUCGUUAGCCUCUUCGUUAACUUUUCGUUAAAUCAUAUAUGAAAAACUACAGAUACUCCAUUUAUAGUUUAUCGAAUAUUCACUUUAAUAUUCUUUAGUUUUAACUUUGUCACUAAUUUAACGAAAAAAAUUAGUGGAUGGAGUAACAAAAAGAGAAAAAUAAAAUCACAAGAUACGAAAGUGAUACAUUUUAAACCAUGGGAUACUAAAAUGAGAAAAUGUGAAAUCAUAGGGGUGGUAUUUGAAGUUUCCCUUUUUUUUUAUUAUUAUACUUAUUUAAUGGUAAAUUUUUAUGGUAAAAUAAAAUUAAGUCACUCCAAGGAUAAUUAAAAGUUUUUUCAAAAGAAAAAAAAAAGUAAGAAAAAAUUGAUGGGCCCCACAUUGAGGGGGAUUCGCCAAGCCCCAAAAAAAACGUCGUGGGACCCACCACGAGCGAAAGUAUCGUGGCCCCACAUCACGAGACCUCUGUGUGUGUUGCUGUGUAGGUCAUAAUUUGGGUCCCAUUUUCGGUCCCUUUUUUACUUCGGUGUCUCCUCUCCCUUUUUGCGACCUUAUCCAAUUCAAAACAAAGAUUCACUAAUCACACAAUGACUUUUUCAUUUUAUUUUGUUUGGAUUCUUUUUUUUGGAUAUUCGGAUCCGAAAACCCGGAUCCGAUAUCUUCCCAGAGCCUGAUGUUGCUGUUUCGUUCUACUUUCCCAAAAUGCACCACUACCCUUUAAAUAUUUUUUAAAAAAAAUUAUUUUAAAUUUACAUUUUAUGAUUCUUUGUAUAAAAUCCUAAGUUGGGCUGAGUCACAAUCGAAACCAGCGGAUACUGUAUCUGUAUUUCUGUUCGCUUUAAGGAGCCAUUUGGUUAGAUAUAAUUAUAAAUACAAUAUAGUUGGGGAUGCAGUAAUUAUAACUAUAUAUAUUUUGUUUGGUUAGAUGCAGUAGAAAAUACUGUGAUUAUAAAUAAUUUAUUUGGUUAUAUUUAGUUGAGAAGCGCGUUUGUAAAAUUUUAUCAGGAGAUGAGAUUACCUCCAACAUAGAAAUUGAAAAUUUAUUUUUAUUCAAACAUUAAUUAGAUAGGUAAACUCAUCUUGUGUUUACAGUUUUACUCUCUUCAACUAUUAAAAUUUGAGUGUAGUUUCAACUACGGUAUUUGAACCUCCUUAUGCAGUUCUAGCUACAGUUUUUGGAUUCGAAUGUAUCAAACUAAACGUCAGAUUUACAUUUGGAUAUAGUUAUAACUGUAAUAUACAACCAAUAACCCCUAAAGUGAAUUAGUUGCAUAUUUUUAAUAGCUCGAGUUUUUUGAAUUGUGAUUGGCAUCGACAAUCUAACACAAAAGUUCAACUAGAGAUGUCAACGGGUCGGAUUCGGGGCAGAUUUUUGAAGGUCCGAACCCGAACCCGACUCCAAACCCGAGACCUGAACCCGAACCCGAACCCGAUCCCGACGGAUUUUAAAAAUCCAUACCCAAACCCGAACCCGACCAAAAAUCCGAAACCCGAACCCGAACCCGAACCCGAAAAUUUGAACCUGUAACAAUUAUUUCUUUUUUCAACAUUUCAAAAUAUAUUAUAUUAAAUCUAAAUUUUUAAAAUACAAAUUCAAAUAUAACAUCAAAUAUAUAUAUAUAUAUAUAUAUAUAUAUAUAUAAUACAAAAUAAAUUCGGGUUCGGGUCGGGUACAAUCAAAAUUCAUAUCCGAAUUCAUAUCCGUCGGGUUUCUAUUUUUGAUAUCCAUAUCCGAAUCCAUAUCCAUCGGAUAUAUCCGUUUCAUUCGGGUUCGGAUUCGGAUAAAAUUUCGGGUAUCCAUACCCAUUGACAUCCCUAAGUUCAACCUAUACAAAAAUGACAAUAACCCUCUCAAUUAUCCCCAUUUGAAAUUCUAUAUAUAGAGAUGGUGGAAUUGCUAAUUCCCAUGAAUAUUUCAUUAUCCUAACAAUUCCCACUAUUUUUAGCCAAAUAUUGCUUGAAAAUAACAUAUAUUUCAUUGCUAUCUUCACAAUACAUAUCUCUAUCGUUUCAUCAAUUAAAUUGUGUGACUAACAGCGUUGAUUUUAUUAUUUUUUUUAAAGAAAACAUUAAAUCUACCACUAUUUUUGUUUGAAUUUAAUAAAAUUCAAUAAAUUUGAUACGCCCUCGUAAUAAAAGUGGCUAUGUUAAUAUCGCUUAUUCAUCAAUAUUAUAGAAUAUUCAACAAAGUUUGUAUAGGAAGGAGCUUCAAUUAUGAAGACAUUAAUUAAUUACAUUAUAUCACACCAUUUCAUAGCUCAAAAGAUAAAAGUGUGUGUUGCUUUUUAGUUGGCAUGACAAGUCCUAGCAAAUGCCCAAUGCUUUUUUUUUUUAUAUUUUAUAAAUUAGCACAAGUGAUUAUAUUUAAUUGAUAAAAAAUAUAAAUUACAAGCAGAUAAGUAUAACUAUAACAAAGUAUAGUGAAUAAAAAUAAUUAUUAAAUAAUGAUGAAAAUUCAAUAGUUUUUUUUUCAAUAAUUCCAUUAGUAAAUCCUAGAGCACCGUUUGGUUUGGGAAUAGGGAUAGGGAUAGGCCCUUAUCCCCCCCCUUAUCCCCCCUUUAUAUCCAAACGCUAAUUUUUUACCCGAGAAUAGUAGUUCUCGGUUAUCCCCACCAACACCUCCAUUUUCUAUAUAAAACUUUCUAAUAUUUUUCUUAUCCUCGGGAACAACCCAAUUUUCAUCCAAACGCUAUUUUUCUUAUCCCCAUACUUGUACCUAUCCCUGUAAUAGCUAGUUCUUGCUUAUACCCGAACCAAACGGUACUUAGGAAUUUACUAAUGGGAUUAUUCACUAUACAAUGUUUCAAUAAAGUAUAGUGAAUAAAAAUAAUUAUUAAAUAAUGAUGAAAAUACAAAAGUUUUUUUCUUUAGAAAAAGAAAGAAAGAAAAGGUAGUGGAUAAUGACAAAUAAAAAGAGUGUCAAAGUACAGUGCUAUUAAUUCCACCUUUUUUUUUCACUUUUUAAUCCCAAGCAAAGUUUAUCAUAAUCAUUAUUUCAUUUUCUUUUGAGUGGAUUGAACCAUCAUUUUUUUUUCUUUUUUUUUUUAAAAAAAAAAAUAGCACGCUAACCGCUUCAUUCAUUCAGAAGACGAACUAAGCUAUAAAGGUGAGGCAUCACUGGCCUCGGUUGUGGCAAAACGAAACGGCGAAAAAAAAAAUUAGCGAUUACAUUGAUGUCUCUCCCCUGAGUGAAGUUUCUCUCACUGGUUCAUCAGCUAUUUAAUCUUGUUGACACCUGCACAUGGGUCAGUCUAGGUCAUCCAAAAGAUCACACAAUUUUUGAUAUUCUAAAUAACCCACCAGCAUACUGUUAGUCCAAUAAAAUCAAUACUUGAGUGGAUUGAAUUUGAAACUAGCGUUUCUCAAACACUAUUCCCUAGUCCUAAAACUCCACAUAGGAUAACUCAUCAUAUCCAUGCAUUAAUUGCUCCUAUUUAUGGAGGGUCCAAUAACUCACAAUGCCAAUUGCAUGCCUCAAAUUCAACUUUGCAUUGCUCAUAGAUGGACCUUACUACUUACUACUCAAAAAAGGCAACUUAAAGAGAUCAGUAUUCUGUCUUAUAAAAAUAAAAAAUUAACAGGUGGGAAGUUUUUCAAUAACGUUUUGUUAGAGAGCUCCAGUUCAUUAUCGCGUAUCAGUGUUGUCUCUAUCCGAAAGCUACAAUCCUUCCUUCAAGAGUUUGAAUAUUUUUUUAAAAAAAUUAGUAUUUAAAAAUUCCUCAAAGAACUAUUGGAAUGAGACAAAACUAAUAUGUAGGAGCAGAUCGGGGGGCUCUUCAUUGAUGCCUUAUGCUAGGGAGCUCCCAACUGAAGUUUUAUCUCCUCUUGUGAAAAAAUUUGAGUAGGGAGCACCCCAACGACGCCAUGUUGGAAAGUCCCAAUCCAUCGCCACAUGCCACUUUUAUCUUUAUCCAAGAACUUUAAUCCUUAUCUCUAGAGUUUAAAUAUAUUUUUAGAUUUUAAUAUUAAAAAAUAUCCAACGAAUCAUUGAAGGGGAGUAAAAUUAACAUAUAAUAGCAAAUCAAGGGUUUUUUAACAAGGUGUCGUUAGAGAGCUGCUCACUCACGUUUUAUUUUACUACUAGCAGGAGAUCGGGUUGGGCAGAAUCACGUUUGAAAUGGCGGGAGACCGAGUUAGGCUUAAUCAUGUUCAGAGUGGCGGAAAGUCGGGUUAGAUCGAGUUACGAUUGAGAGCGUGGAUGAUGUAUCCUUACCCUUUAAAUAAAUUAGUUAGUUGCGUCCUUCUAACAGUUUGAACUUUUGAAAUUAAUAAUUAGCGUCAUCGAUCCUACACUUAUGACAUGAAUUGGCCAUUUUAGAAUAAGUGCCAAAGUAUGAUUUAAACAAAAGUUUAUGGGACGAUCCCUAAUAUAAGACUGUUUCAUUAGCCGUUAAUCAUAUAAAUGUUACGAAUCUCAAAAUUACAUGGACGAUAGAUAGAACAGUCUCAUAUCGAGGAUUGUUCCUAAGAAUUUAUUUGUUUCUUUUCCUUGUAAUUCUAUAUUUAAGCACUAAAAUUGAGGCAAAUUAGUUGCCCUUCAUUGUUUUGAGUAAAGUUAAUUAAUAGCCCUUUGGGCAACAAUAGGUGCACCAUCUCACCCCAUGCAUUGUCCACUAAUCACUCUCUAUAGCUUCUCACAAUUCAUAUUCAAUUUGUUUUUAUUUAAAGGGAAAAAAAAAACCUUAAUAAAAAUUAAUAAAUUUUUUAUGCAAAAAAAAAGUUACAAGCAACUAAUUGGAAAAAAAAAAUAAAAGUAAACUUCAAAUAUCACCCAUAUAGUUUUAUAUUUUUUUCACUUUAGUACCAUAUGUUUGAAGUGUAUCAAUUUAGUACCAUGUGGUUUUAUUUUUUUCUUUUUGUCAGUCUAUUCGUUAACUUUUCGUUAAAUCAUAUACAAAAAAGUUGAGAUACUCCACCUAUAGUUUAUCGAAUAUUUAUUUUAGUACCCUUUAGUUUUAACUUUGUCACUAAUUUAACAAAAAAAAUUAGUGAAUGAAUUAAUUAAAAAAAAAUUAUAGGGUAGAAAAAUAAUACAUUUUAAAUCAUAUGUUACUAAAAUGAGAAAAUACAAAAUCACAUAGGGUGGUAUUUGAAGUUUAAAAAAAAAAACAAAAAAACAGAAAAUCACGCGGGCACAGUUACCGAGGCGGAUCAGCCACCGCCCAGCCGGCCAGCCCGUGACGCGCGGGCCCCACGGCGCCGGUCCAGAGGAUCAGGUCCGUCCGUACCACGUCAGCGGCUACAACAACAGAAGGAGACGCAAUUCAAAUUCAGAACAUUGGGGAAAUAUACAUUGUGGCAAAAAUAAAAAAAAAAAGAGGAAAAAAACGCUCGAGAAAUCGCGCACCGUCCGAUCUCCAUCAGACGGACGUCAGUUUCGGGUGGGGGGCCCGCCGACACCCGCUGCUGCCAUUUUGACCGUUGCCGCGAUCCGCCGUGCGUGUGGGCCGCUUCCCUAUUGGCUGGUGGGCUCGCGCGGGGCCCACCUGCUCAAACGGCUAGUCUUAUGACUCUUAUCCGACGUGGCAGAACCGAUCGGCUGCCACGUGGCAUUAAGUGGCCCCCGCACGGGUGCGGUUCCCCGAGACACGUUUGGUGGCCACGAAAAGCUUUUUUAAAAUUUUAAUUUUGGUAUUUAAUUUUUUUAAUUUUUUUAAUUUAAGUAGGGGUGGAAACGAGCCGAGCUCGAGCGAGCUUAGCUCAGCUCAAGCUUGGCUUGAAAUUAAUUUCGAGCCUAAAUUUAGGCUCAAGCUCGGCUUGAAAUUAAUUCGAGCCGAGCUCGAGCGAGCCUAAUUUCGAGUCGAGCGAGCUCGAGCCCUAAACGAGCUGCUUGAAAUUCUUAACAUCGUACAAUCUAUAGUUUAAUUUUUAUAAAAAUAUUAUCUAAAAUUUGAUACAAAAAAUGUCUAAUAGCUCAACAUACAAAAUGAAUGCAUGAAAUAUGAUAUUAUAAUAUUAAAAAAAAUCAGGGAAAACAACUCUGAGCGAGUGAAAAAGAGAGAGAGAGCAAUUAAAAUAGGAUUUUAUUGGUUUGAUUUUAUGGGUCCUAUAAUCUAAAUUCUAUAUAGAUACAAUUAAAAUACAUAAUAUAAAUUUAUAUAAUUAAAAUAUAUAUUAUAUAUAAUUAUAUAGAGAGAGAGUUCGGCUACUAUACUCUAUUAGUAUAGAUCUCUUUACACUCAUAAGUUUUUUAUCGUCAAAUAUAUACUUUUGACCAUUUCCAACCGUAAAUCAUACUAUUCAACCAACCACCCACUCAAUCCUAGGGGAUCACUANAUAUAUAUAUAAUUAGGUUACAAUAUUAUUAAUAGUAUCAACUACUUGCUAUUAGGUUUUCGGCCCUUAGAUGAAGGGAUGUGUGGUCAGGAUGAUAGUAGCCCCUAGGAUUGAGAAGGUGGAUAAUUGAAUAGUAUGAUUUAACGGAUGAAAAUGACCAAAGGGGUAGAUCUAACGGCAGAAAACUCGAUAGCAUCAAAUACUUGGUAUUAUCGAUAGUAUAGUAGCCGGACUCUAUAUUUAUAGGUAGGUCUAACAGCAGAAAACUCGAUAGCACAAAACAAUUGGUACUAUAGAUAGUAUAAUAGCCGGACUAUAUAUAUAGAGAGAGAGUCCGGCUACAAUAUUAUCGAUAAUACCAAAUGCUUAGUGCUGUCGAAUUUUUUGCCGUUAGAUCUAUCCGUUUGACCAGUUUCACUCAAUAGAUCAUACUAUUCAACUAACCACCUACUCAACUCUAGGGAAUCACUAUCAUCCUAACCGCACAUCCCUUCAUCCAAGGCCGAAAACCUAAUAGUAAAUGGUUGGUACUAUUAAUAAUAUAGUAGACUUUAUAUAUAUAUAUAUAUAUAUUUCGAGCUUUUCGAGCCUAAUUCGAGCGAGCCCGGUAAUACUCAAGCUUGGCUUGAAAUUAAUUUCGAGCCUAAAUUUAGGCUCAAGCUCGACUUGAAAUUAAUUCGAGUCGAGCUCGAGCGAGCCGAAUAUCGAGCCGAACGCGAGUCGAACACGAGCCGGCUCGCUCAUUUGCCAGCCCUAAAUUUAAGUGAUUUAGUAAUUUUUUAAAAUAUUUUUAAAUAUAAAAUAUAAAUAAUUGCUUAUUUUUAUAAAUUUAUAGUUACAUAAAUUAUAUAAAACUACUAAUUCAAAUUUUGAGAUUAAAGAGUCACUAAUUUUUAAAAGUUACGUAGUAUAGUCUGAUUCCAAUGUUUGUUUAGAAUUAAUGAAAAAAAAUAAAAAAAAUAAUUUAAUUAUAGCUAGAAUCUAAUAUAUGAUCCAAUAAAUAAAAAAUGAUUUAAGAUAAAAUAUAUUUUUGUGUAUCUAAAAACUUUUUCCAGAUUUAUUAUUAUUAUUAUUAUUAUUAUUAUUAUUAAUUGGGAUUUUGCAAAUGAGUACUUUUGCUUUCUAGAAAGAAGAGAAUAUAAUAAUAAACAUAAAAAAAAUGGCCAGCUCAUUGGCCAGCUCAGCACAUAGAUAAAAGUUGGUUAGUGCAUGAAAAAUGAGUCCCCUUUUGGAGUAGGGUUUGGUACAAAUAUGUAAUGUUGGAUUUAAAAAAAAAAAAAAAAUUUAUGGAUCCCAUUUGCGCUAACUGAAAUUCUAAAAGCUCGAGCUGAUACAGCAAAAAUAAUCAUUUUACUUAAAAUGUACAGAGACAGCGAUGACAAAUUCUCAAUUGUGCAUUAACUCAAUUUAACUUCAGACACGCAGAUAGAAUGUUAGAUACCGUGUAAGAAUAUUAUAUAAAAUUGAGUGUAAAUUGGUCCGUAAGUAUUUAUUGUUAAAUAGCGUAUCAUCCUAUUUUUUUUCCAAAAUUUAUUAUGUUGAUUUUUUCAGUGAAAUAAAAUAAAAAGAAAACUCCCCCUCACUUCUCUCAAACCCAAUUAAACCUCUCUCUCUCUCUCUCUCUCUCUCUCUCUCUCUAGAAAACAGAGCACUCCUCCAUGAAGAGUAUAUAAUAAGAAAACAGAGCAAAAACAGAGCAUAGUUGUAGCAAAUAACACAAACAGGGGAGGGAUCAAAAAAUGGCUCCUUUUUCUUCUUGUCCUCCUCUCUUCUUCCUCUUCCUCUACUUUGGAGCUUCACUCACCCCCAUUAAUGGCGAGCCCAUCCCCUCCCUCCCCACCCUCACCCCACUCUCCUUCCACGACGCCUACACGCAGCUCUUCGGCGACUCCAACCUCGCCCUCCGCCGCGGCGGCAGGAGAGUCCACAUCGCCCUCGACCGAAGAACCGGUCCAUUAACCCCUCCCCUUCUCUCUCUCUCUCUCUCUGAUUCCAUUGGAUUGGUUUAUGAUUGCACUAAAAUUGGGCUCUUUGGAGAUAAACUCAGGUGCCGGAUUCGCCUCGCGGCGCCUCUAUCUCCACGGCUUCUUCAGCGCCGCCAUUAAGCUCCCUUCGGAUCACGCCGCCGGUGUCGUCGUCGCUUUCUAUGUAAAAACCCCAUUUUUAUCAUGAAAAUUUUGGAAUUACUCCGAAAAGUUUGGAUUUUUAGCUUGUGUUUUUCCCUCUGUUUCUCGCCGCCAAUUCAAAGUUCAUAGCUUUUGAUUCUUUUUAUCUUCUGUUGUUCAAAUUUCGAAUUGUAGGAUUAUGAGCUUUGGAUGUUGAGAUUUCCCUCUUAAUCAACAUAUUCAAAUCUAAAUUUAAAUAAAAUUCCAAAUGUAUCCAAUUCCAAUUUCAACAUAUUCUUUUUUAUUAUUUUAUUUUAUUUAACAUGUGAAUACUCCACUAAACACAUCAAACUGUAAAACCAAACAAAACAAAACACCAAAAAAAACAUUUUUUUUCAAGCAAUUCAAGGGAAAAAAAGAGUGAGAGAGAGAGAGAGAGAGAGAAACUUACAAUUGAGGAUGAUGAAAAGCUUGUGGUGGAUGCUGCUGCUGCUGCUGCUGCGCAGAUGUCGAACGGAGACGUGUUCGAGAAGACGCACGACGAGCUGGACUUCGAGUUCUUGGGCAACAUCAGGGGGAGGGAAUGGCGGGUGCAGACGAAUGUUUACGGCAACGGGAGCACGUCGAUCGGGCGCGAGGAGAGGUACAGCCUCUGGUUUGAUCCCACAGAGGAUUUCCAUCAGUAUGCCAUACUGUGGAGCAGCAGCAGAAUCAUGUAAGUGCUGCUACUUCUGCUGCUACUUCUGCUACUCUGACCAUUUUCUUACUGCUGAAUCAUCUCUUUUCUAUGCUUCAGUUGUAUGAUUUGUAGUUUUAAAUUCGCGGUUUCGGUGAAAUUUGAUGGCCAGUAACUGACAAUGCUGUUGAAGUUUAAGGAAGUUUCCAAUUCUAGAGAGGAAAUUAUAACCCAAACCAAAUUUCAUGUGGUGGUAGCAAGUUUCAGCAAAUGGUCAAAUUAAGUAAAUUCAGAUGUAGAAAUGCAUGAGAAUGCACCUGACUAUAUUCAUGCUUAAGAAUCUAGUCUUCUAGAAACAGAUGGAUCAGAACAUCUCGUAACGCCCUAAUAGUCCCACAUCGGAUGAAAAAAUGAUUCUAAUUGGUAUAUAUAUAUCUAUGCUAAUAACAAUAACCGGACUUUAAGCAUUUUGGGCCGGUGGUUUAACUCUAAUAAAUUAUCAUUGCUAGCGGGUUGGAUCAUUACAAUUAGUAUCAGAGCUGAAUAUCGGCCUCUCCGUUGGUAGGAUCACCUGUAGGAGUCACUUCUUAAACCCGUAUGAGUCACCUCUAGAAUCUCAAUUUCUGGUCACUCGUAGAAGCCACCUCUAGAAUCUCACAUCAGUAAGCAUGCAUUUUGGGUUGAUGGUUUGAACCCAACGAGUUAUUAUUGCUAGCGGGUCGGAUCGUUAUACAUCUUUUCUCCUUUACUUCCUAUAAGCCAUAUUCUCUUUAUGUUAUGUUAUGUUAUGUGGAUUAUUAUGAACAAUUCCAUCUUUAUGAAUUAUUUUCCGUGUGCUUACUUAGUUGUAAAAAAUAAAAUUUCGGAAAACUAUUUUUACAAAUUUUCAGCUGAAAUUAAAAACUCAAGCUGCCAAAACUUUUUUCUUUCUUUUUCUUCUACCGAACUAAAUAAAUGUGAAAAUUUCUCCUUUCAACCACAUAAAUAUUAAUAUAAAACUAUUUUUUUCUUUCCUUUUUUCACUACAAAACGUAAAACUUUUUUCCCACCAAAUUUUUUUUUCUACAAAAAAAACUUUUUUCACGGUUUUCUACUAAAACUACUAUUUUUUUUUUUCUACGGAAAACUAUGAAUCUCUUAUUGUUGUUUUGUCGUUACUUUNUUUUUUUUUUUUUUUUGAGAGAGAUAGGUAGCAUGCGACCUGUUUCGUUUAUUUCAUUUAGAAACACCAUUACUAUUACUAAGGGUGUUUUUUAUUGGUCAUAAACUAUACCGAAAAUUACUUUUCGGCUCGAAAUUUUUUUUUUCAUGUGUUAGUUUAACCCUAAAAAAAGUUUUAGAAAAUUAUUUUUAGGGUUAAACAAAAAUUUUUAGAAAAUUAUUUUUACAGAUUUGAGGAAAAUGGAGUGUUUGCAUUUUCGCCAAUUUUUCGACAAAAAAAAAAAAACUCAAGCUACGCAAAUUUUUUUUCAUUUAUUUUUUUUUUUUCACCGAACCAAAUGAAUGUGAAUUCUUCUCCUUUCAAUCAAACAAGUAUUAAUAAAAAAAAAUACCCCCUUUUUUUUCCCUUUUCACACUACAAAACUUUUUUUUUUUCUACGAAAAAUUAUUUUUCAUGAUUUUACGUACAACCAAACGUGGCUUUACUAAGUUGAGACAUGCUAAAUUGAGUUUCACUCUUUUGAGCAGAUUUUACAUUGAUGGCAUUCCAAUUAGGGAGGUGGUGAGGCCUCAAGCCAUUGAUGGGCUUGGGCAAUUUCCAUCCAAGCCCAUGUCACUCUAUGCCACCAUAUGGGAUGGGUCAAGUUGGGCCACAUCGGGCGGGCGCUACAAGGUAAAUUACAAAUACGCCCCUUACGUGGCCGAAUUCACCGACCUCGUCCUUCGCGGUUGCGCUACCGACCUAACGACUCACCAGCCGACCUGUCGCCAGGCCGACAUUGAUAUGUACGACACUGUCAGUUUGUCGGUCGAGCAACGGUUGGCCAUGGAUGACUUCCGCGAGAAGCAUAUGACUUACGGUUACUGCUAUGAUCGCCUGCGAUACACUAAUCCUCCGGCAGAGUGCUCAACAGGCCGUGAGGCCGACCUUUUCCUGGAGUCGGGGGAAGCCCGGGGGUUCUCCGACCGCCGCCGUCACCGCUAUGCAAAGCGUCAUUACCGGACGGCGUUAGAUGACGCAUUUUGAUUUGAACUUCAUUUAGUUGUGAAAAGAAAAAGUCUUAGGCUAUUGGGAAAAGGGGAUUAUUUUGUGUUUAUAGAGAGAGAUGGUAUUCAUCUUUUCUUCAUCAUAGAUUUCUUAUUCCUCUAACAUGUUGGGAGGAAACUUAUGAAUAGCAAAUGAAUAAACAAGGUGAUAUGAUUUUUCCUGGGGCCAUGACUUUUUGAAAAGAGGAGAGAGAAAGAGAGGGAGUGAGUUUGAAAAAAUUGUUGGUAACUAAGUCUACAUAAAGUAAGCCAUUCACCACAUUUCUACAUAAAAUAUUAGUUCUCGAAGUUCAAACUACGCAGAUGUAUACUACUAAAUGGUUCACUGCUUUUACGAGCACCCUCAAAUAGUUUUAAUGUUUUGAAUAAAAUGGUAAACGAUUUGUCGCAUUUAGAAAGCAGUGAUUCAUCUGUGUCUCAUAAUAUUUAGGCCUAAUUCUAUAAAUAAGCUUUUCGAGGGAUUAUUGUUACAAUUAUAAUAAUAGGUCUGAGUUUGGUGCCUCUAGGGUUUGGUUUGGGCAAUUAUGUCAUUCCCUUUUUUGGCCAAUGAGGAGGUUGUUCUCCUUGCCUUCUUGUUUCACACAAAAUGGUAAGAUUCCUAUGAGGUCUCAACUCAAGAAUAGGACCAAGUAACAUGCAAAAGGACAUGAAUAUGUGACUUUCUCUCUCCUAACAAGUGAGAGGAGACCACUAAGAGAGAGAGAGAGAGUGUGUGUGUAAUAUUGAGAUGCAAAAAAAAAAAAAAAGUACAUAGCUGAAUAAAUCCAAAGAAAACAUCUUGUGAGAAUAAUCAACAUAUAGCACCAAAAAAAGCAGUUGGUAAAAAUCUUAAAAGUUAAAAUUUAAGCUAAUUGUUUAUUUUAAUAAAUUUAUAUUUACACAAAUCGCAUAAAUUACCUUAGUAGCUUAAUCAAAUAAAUUAAAAGGUUAGAUAGCAAAAUCAAAAUUUUUAAAGAUUUAGUAGUCGGAUCAAAAUAGGUGAUAGUUGAGGUAAGUUGUGUAAUUUUGUUUCACCCGGAAUUUAAGACGGUGUCCGGUUUUAUGUACAUGAGUUUCUUUUUUUUUCACACAAACUGAAAACAUUCAGAUAUCAAACAGUAAAUUCAUGGAAAGCAAUCAGAGAAUCUAAAUUACAGAUCAAACAGUAAAAAACAAAAAAGGAAGAAGGGUUUAUGAAACAAUUGCGAAAAUUAAUGUACAAAAAAAGCAAUAGAUUGAGGAACAUUAUUUGAUACAAGGAUGUGUGUAUUAAACCAAUAUCAGCUAAGAAACGCGUAGUUUCAUUUCAUUUCAUGUCUUGUACGGAACUCGGUUUUUUGGCUACUUUUAUGAACAAAAUAACUAGUAUAUACUUACGGUAAGAUCAAAUCGCACAAAUUUAUUAAUCUAGCAUCAAUCAAGUGGUUCCUUUUUCAAUUUGACUAAUAGGAGAGAGGGAUUUUGAACUUAUCGUCGAUAAUUUGCCUUGUUGUAGUCCUACUCUGAAUCAAAUUUGAUUUGAGUCUUCUGGAAUGGAGCUGGAGCCUUCGAGAUCUUCGAUAAGCUUGAUGAAGUUUUGAACCAUUGUUUUUCCUUCCGGCGUUAUGAUGCUUUCCGGAUGAAACUGCACUCCCUGCAACUCAAAGAAUCAAACAGGCAAAUUUAUAAAAUAAAUUUAUGAUCAGAGCAAGAGAAGAUUAGGCUGAUGUUUUCUUAGUGAGUUGAUGCGAAUCGUCAAAAUUACGCAUUUACGUGAUAUGACAGAUAUUCCAACUUAGCAAUUCAUCAAUCUUUAAUGAGUGAAAUUUACAACUACCUAUUAGCCAAUUCAGAUUCUUGAGAACAUGUGUGAGAGCGUGAAAGUCGGUUUCGUAUAGCAGGAAAGAGGUGCGUUUGAGAUGUUAAAUUUUUUAAGUUUCAUACUUGAUGAAGAUAGAAACACAACCACAAUAACAGACAGCUGAAACAAGGAAAAGAAGUUACCAGACCUGGAUAUGCCUGUACUUCUUGUGUCGGGCAGCCAUAACUAGCCCAUCUUCCGUCCACGCGACAACCUCUAGAGAGUCACUCGGAAAACUGUCCUUCUCAAUCACAAGGCUAUGAUAUCUUCCAGCCUGAAAUGGACUGGACAAAGAGACGGCAGGAGAAAAUGCCUUUAUAAGUGAUAAUUAUCACAUCGGCACAAAGUAUCACAAAAGAAGCCAUAGUUCCGUUAAAUGCAUAAGCUUAGAGUCGAAUCAUAGGGUUAGCUCUAACAAGUGAUAUACAUGCUAAAAUUAUCUUGAUGUUAUUAUGUCUGUUGCACUGAUAAUCCGUGAUGUUAUCAGUAUAUCUAUUCAGAUUAUUUUGCAAAUAGUAUUCUGUAAAGAGAUUGGCCAUAUGGAACAAGAGAUUUCAGCAUUUAAAAAUAUGACCUUUAAAUUGUAUUAUUCAUGAAGAAAAUAAAAGUUUCUGAGUUCAGAAAACGAGAAUACACAUCGAGCAAAAGCCGCUAUUGAAGAGUAAAAAGAUGUAAAUACAAUAAUCUUACUUUGGCACACCGGAAAAUAGUGUAUCAACCAGUUUUUCAUCGUAAUACACCAGCGAGCUCUUCCCGUGUACAACACCAGAAGGAGAGCGUACAAUCUUCCCUAAAAGUCAACAGUGAUGCACUCAAAUUAGAACAUCAUAAGUGUCGCCCUGUAAAAUCCAACCAUUCACGCACAGCCCUUGUAAAAUCCGGAAAGCCACAUACGCCACCCAUAAAAAAUGCAGGUUCUUAAAAAAAUAUGCUUGUUUAAUUAUGGGGAGUCAACAAAUUCAUUAGGGGAAGAUGAUUUUGUACUGUAAAACGGCUAACAAAGAGGGGCAUUGCUGUAAAUGCAAUGGCAAUUUCACCUCUGUGUUAGAAAAUUAGGUUUUGAAUAGCAUAUAAACAAAAGCUCAAAUUUUGCAAGAGUACAUAUGUGAAUAAAUAAUUUUGUAGGGAUAAAUAUAUGUCACUGUAUCUAAAUGAGAUGAGUUGUAUUUGUAAAUUGAAAUGUAACCAUACCUCCAAAAGCCUCUCCAAUGCAUUGCAAGCCCAUACAAACUCCAAAUAAAGGAAUAGAAGGCCCCAACUCUAAAACAGUUUGUAAAGAGACUCCUGAAUCCUGAGGGGUGCCUUCAAAAAGAGAAAAGAAAAUAAAUAUUCAAGUUUCUUCAUAAAGCAAAGCAAAAAUUAUCGAGGAUUUAAACACUAACCAGGACCUGGAGAAAUUAAUAUCCCUCUUGGUUGUUUCCUAAAAAAACCCAAGUAAAUGAUCAUCGGCUAAUGCAUAAUGCUUGACUUUUAAUUAAAACACCAAAAGUUAACAAACGAAAAAAUUUCCAACCUUUUGAUUUCUUCAACGGUAAUUUCAUCAUUUCGAUAUACCUCAAAACUAGCUCCCAGGUCGCCCAUAUACUGCAUUAUCAAAGAUAAAAUGCUUUUCUAUAUCAGCAGCUGGUUCGCCUAAUCUGUCAUGCAAGGACCAUAUGUUUCCAGCUUUCUGCUAUUUGCCACGUAAACAGAUAAACAAUAGAGGAAUGUAUUGCUUUUAUAUGUGUUUUUGGGUAUCUCUUUAUUACCGCCACAAGCAAAACUGGAGAGAAUAUCCAAUUCUAAUGGAAUUCAUAUGUCAUGCACUGUAACAGAAAGUGUUACUAAAAUGUAAAUGAAGUUACAGUUAGGGAUAGUUGCGCUUGAAGAACUUAAAUUCAAAGUACCAUCUAUUGACUUAGCAUUCAAAUAUGCACACUCAAACAAUAGCCUGCCUUUCUUAACCGUCUCAAUAGGUCUGAGCAGAUCGCAUGAAGAGUAAGCCAUCACAAACAGUAUCAGGAAAAGAUCUUUAACCAUAAAAAUGAAGGGAAAUACAUGAGGGUGCAGUUCUAUAGUGAGAUUCAACCAAUUUAAUUCAUUUUAUAUCCACUCAAGUUCUAACGAUACCUGGCAUAAAUUAUAAGUGAAGCUAUCAUAGUUGUCGAUCACAAUGAUCGGUUUCGAAUCCUUCUUAUAACCAUUCGAAACAAAUGCUCUUUCUGCCGUUACUGCUUGUAUUGGAGCAGUAAAACUGCUUCUCCUAUUUGAUAAAACUCCACUUUUGACCCCUGAAAGAAAAAAGUCAAUUACAAUGCACUGUAAAAGCUGUAGGAAAUAGGGAAAUUAUAUUAUUCUAUGGUGUGCCUCGAAUUCUUGGACCCAGUCCAUUAUGUGAUCCGCUACGACACAUUUGGGAGAAAAAUGCAAUUGUGAGAGUUUUUGGAGGUUUGUGAUGGAAGCAUAGGGCUUGGGACGAUAGACCUUUUCUCCGAUUGGAUUAGGAUUAUUUACCAAUAUAUUCGAUGUUGGUGUUCUCCUGAUUAUUUACCAAGCAUGGAAAAUGACAAUUUUUUUAUCUCUAUCAUCUGCGAAUUUCUUAUUCUUAUGAAGAGUCAAAGGGCUUGGGCCCAACUCAAAAGCUUAAGCUGAUAGGUGAAGAUUCCCUUACACAUUAUAUGGGAACCAAAAUUUUUGUUUCUAUUCAAUAUGUGACUAUUUAUUCUUAACAUUACAAAUCAAUUAAGCAAGAAAAGCAAAAGAGUACAUUCCAAAGUAUAAAAAUUGAAUUAGGAAAAAGAAGAGCUUGUUAUUUCCACGUCCAUCAUAAUCUACCAUAUUAGAAACAAUCAUCAAUGGAACAAAAAAAAAGACGAUCUUUAAUCGAAAAAAUGCAGGAAAAAUGCAAGAGUAUGCAUUCAAAAAGAAAUUAGAAAAUUUUGGUAAAAUCAUACAAAACUUACUUAGACUAUGGACUAUUUUGAAUCGGCGACCCAAACUUUCAAAAGUUUGAUUUUACUGCCCAACCUUUUAAUUUGUUCGAUUUGAGUCAAUUAACGGCACUUUCACUUCAAAAUUUAAGCUAAUUACUUAAUUUAACGAAUUUAUAAUUACAAGAAUUUUAUUAAUCAUACUAACUAAAUACAUAAAGAUAAACGACGCAAUCAAAUUUUAAAGUUAAAGUGUCGUUGAAUACUCAAAUCAAACAAAUUAAAGAUAAUAAAAUCAAAAUUUUGCAAGGUUGGGUAGCCGAAUCAAAAUGGUCCAUAAUUCUGGUAAGUUUUGUACGUUUUUACCGAGAAAGUUUUACUUUAUCUUUCCAAUCCCUUUACACUCUACCAUAUUACAGACAACGAUAAACAACUCCUCUCAAUCGAUCGAACCCUAAUCCCCAAUCCCCAACACAUUAAACAACGAAAAAGAUCUCUAAUAAAAAAUGCAGGAAAAGUGCAAUUAAACUGAAUUAGAAGAAGCUCUACUUCAUCUUUCCAAAUCCACCAUAGUCCACCUUAUUAGAAGCAAUUAUCAGCUCCUCUCAAUCGAUCGAUCAAGCCCCAAUUCCCAAUCCCCAACGCAUAAAAAAGGGGGAAAAUAUCAUGUUUCUAAUCGAAAAAUGCGGGGAAAAAAGGGGAUGAGGAUCGAUUACUCGUCGGAUCGGCAACAGGGGCUAGGGCGGGGGAUCGCGCAUGGCGGGGCGGGGCCGCGGCUAGGGUUUGGGGAUCGGGGUAGGGUUUGGAGGAGGAGAGGAGGGAUCGGAGAGUGAGAAUCGCCAUGAGAGAGAGAGAGAGAGAGAGAGAGAGAGAGAGAGUUGGUGGAGAGCGUAGUUGAGCAUCUCUCGUUCUCUCUUUGGUUAAAAUGUAUAGAUACACCUAAACUUUAACCAUAUUUGAAAUUACCCCCCUGAACUUUUUAAAGUAAAAGCGUACCCAAUUUAUCUCAACUAUAAAUUAUUUUAAAUUAUCUAAUUAAUUUUUUAAAAACUUUUAAUUUACUAUCCAACAUUUCAAUUUAUUAUAUUUGAGAUUAAAAUUUAAGCUUAUUACUUACUUUAAAAAAUUUAUAAUUGCGAGAAUUACGUGACAUUAAAAUUUUCAAGUCAAAGUGUUGUUGACCGACUUGAAUUAGAUAAAUUGAAAUUUUGGUACCACCUCAAAAUGGUCCAUAGUUCGGAUAAUUUUGUAUGUUAUUUUUUUAAAAAAAUUUAAUUUACAUCCUUUUUAAUUAUUAACUGUCUGAUUUAACUUCUUUUGUUAGCAAUUUUAAAAGUUCUAAUAGAAUUAAAAUAAAUGUUCAUAAAAAAUAUACGUGAUUAAAAAUUACUUUAGCCAAAACAGAGGCCACGUGCAUCUCUCGUGGAUGUUUGCAUGUAAUAAAUAAAAGGGGUCUAAAUCAAAUAACAAAAUUUAGGGAGUGAAAUUCAAAAUUGGUUAAAGCUUAGGGGUGUCUAUACAUUUUAACCUUUUUUUUAAAAAAAGUUCGUUGACUUUUCAACCGUCACACACGAAGAGCACCUUUUGCCCGUAGUCAACUCUCCUGCGUUGACUAACACUACGAAUAUUUUAGGAAAAAGUAUAAAUGAGUAAAAAUAAAUAAAUAAAUAAUUUUAAUGAAAAAUUUUCCAACAAUAAUGACGAGUCCCUGAUCCUCCGCUGUUAUAUAUCAAUUUUACUUUUAUUUUCAAAUUUUAGUAUUAAAAAUAUUUAAUAAAUAUUUGAAUGGAUAUAAAUUUAACGCAUGGUGUUGUUAUCUGUUUGACGCUCUCCACUGAAAUUUUUAUUUGAAAAAAAAAAUCAUUCAAUGCGAGUAGGUACGUGUAAUGUGGGUCGUAUCGUGUCGAACUUUCGUUUUAACCGGCCGGUACCUGCCACACUGCGCGGCACGGCAUUGAAUUUAGUUCGUACUUUGUCACGUCAUAUUCGUGCUUUCGUUAGUUUUUUUUUAUUUUUUACAAAAAAUAAAAAAAAAUACAUAACUUAUCUAAACUAUAAACCAUUUUAAGCUGAUUAUUCAAUCUUUUAAAAAUUUAAUUUUACUAUUUAAUAUUUUAAUUUAUUUGAUUUAAAUCAGACAACGGCACUGUAAGUUUAAAAUUUGAAUGCGUCGUUUAUUUUUAUAAAUUUAAUUAGUAUACUUCAUAUAAUUUUUGUGACUAUAAAUUUUUUAAACCAGGCAAUUAGUUUAAAUUUUGAUGUGAAUGCCGCUGAGUGACUCAAAUUAAAAAAAUUAAAAAAUUGCGUAGCAAAACAAAAAUUUUGACAGGUCGAACGGUCAGCUCAAAAUGAUUCAUAGUUUUAGUAAGUACAGUACGUUUUUUAUCGUUUCAAAAUUGAACUGAAUCGCAUUAAUAUAGUGACUUUAUCUGAAGUAAUUUUGUCGAAAUAUAAUCCGGAUGCGGAUAUUAACGGAUAAUAUCGGUACGUGGAUAUUACCGUCCCCCUUACAUAUUACUGUACACAUCAAUGUAUAAUACUACUAAAUAAAUCUGGAUUUUCGUAUUCAUAUUUAUUUCUUAUGGAUAUCAUAUUUGCGCCUAUAUCUGACCGGAAUUUGGAUGCGGGUAUCAACGGACAAUAUCCGAUCCGCUUUCGCCCCUACCGAAGCUCCACUAACCUCGAUACAUUUGCAUCCUUUGCCAUGUAUGAUGGAUGUAUCAAGUACACUUGUACACCGGGUGCACGGAAUAAUUUGUUCAUGGUCGUAGAACACGCGGCUACCGACCAAGGAAAACGUACACCGAGGGGCGAGAGGAAAGUCAACACGGAACGGGGAAACGGGAAACGCGUUUCUUCGUUUUUGUUUUAUGGUCCUUUGGGGAAACGCGUUCGCCGCUACUGGUUUGAGAUCCGGCGAACGGAUGCUUUUCCCAAAAUGCCCCUAGGGGUGGGAAGCAUUGGAUUUUUGAAAAAAUUAUAUGGCUAAAUUACAAAACAAUUUUAGGCAAAUUUGUAUAAAAAAUUUAUUAGUUUUGAGAUUUUGCAAAAAUAGACUGUUUUUUUGAAUUUUGCAGAUUCAGGCUAAAUUUUUAGAAAACUGAUCAAAAUAUCCUUAUCCUUUUUUUUUCUCUCUCUUUUUUUUUUUCACUUGUUCUUUUUUUUUUCUCUCUCCGAGGAGACGCAGGCGGAGGCGGCCUGCCUCGCCUCUGUCCCACGCACCCUCGCCCUCACCUGUGCACCAUCCUUCUACCUUCCUCGCCUCCAACCGCAUCGAGGCCGCGUCUCGACCUCCUUUUUUUNCAACCCUCCACCACCGCCUUUUCGGUUUUUUACAAAAGUUGAAAAGGUAUCGUUACGCCAUUUUUUUCUCCUUUUUUUUUUCUUCUUGUUCUUUUUUUUUUUUCUCUUCAACCCUCAUCUACCACCUCUGUAACCCUCCAAAAUGGUAACAAAGACAAUGCUGCAUUCUCUUCCUCCGCCUUCGCCAGCACAGGCACCGACGCUGGUGCCAGAGAAGGAGGACUCGAAGCGAGUGCGGGUGAGAGCGGAGCUAUGGAAAAAAUAUGCAGAAACUAAAAAAUAAAAAAAUAAAGAAUAAAAUAUAAAAAAUAGUUAUUCCUACAAGAAAAAUAAAGUUGAAUUUGCACAGUUUCAAAAAAAUAUUGCACUAUUUUAAGAUAACGUUGUACUAUUUUAAAAAAAGUUUACACUACUAGAGAGAAAUAUAUACUUUUUUUUUUAUAAAAAUUACACUCUUUAAACGAAAAUUGUAUUAUUUAGACAAAAAUUAUACUAUUUUUUCUCCUCCUCAUCCGCUUUCUUGCCAAAUAAUGAAAUUUUCGUUAAAACAGUACAACUAUCAUUCAAAAAGUAUAAUUUUCAUCCAAAAAAAUAUAUUUUUCCUCUCAAAUAAAUUUUUUUUAAAAAUAAUGCAACGUUCCCCUGAAAUAGUGCAACAUUCUUCUGAAAUAGUCCAAAUUCAUCUUCUUCUUUUCUCUUUGAUUUUUUAUUUUUUUAUAGAAAAAAAUAUUUUUCUUUAUAUUCUAUUCUUUACUUUUUUUUUCUCUAUAUUUUUUUUUUUCGGCUCUGCUCUUUUUUGAAAUCUCUUAUCCAAAUAUUGGAAUGCAAAUCUGACUUAUAUCUUUAUUCGGAGAGAAAGAAAAAAAUGAACGACAGCAAAAAAAAGAGAGAGAAAAAGAAAUAAGGGUAUUUUGGUCAGUUUUUUAAAAAAUUCGAUCCGAAUCUGCAAAAUCCAAAAAAGCGACUUACUUUUGCAAAAGCUGAAAACUAAUAGAUUUUCUAUGCAAAUUGGCCAAGUUUUUAUGUAAAUAUUCAUUUUUUUUACUUUUAAAAUUUUAUAUUUUAUUUUUAAAAAUUUUAAAAAUAUUUUUAGAGGGUACAAUAUUAAUAAAGAGGGCAAAAUGAUCAAAUUACCUUUAUUUUUUUGUAAGAACAAAAUUAAUAUAUUUUUAUUAUUUUGAAGGACAUUUUCAGUAUAAAUUAUAAGAAAUGGAAAUGGACGGUAUAAUGAUGGAACUCUGAUGGAGGAAAGUUAAAUGCAACAACUUGAAAUGUUAAGUAAGUAAAAUAUAGAUUUUUGAAAAUUAGCAAAAAAAAAGCAAAAAAAGUGAGUGUUUAUAAAAAAAAUUUUCUGUAAUUUAGCCAAAUUAUAUUCUGUCACGCCCGGGUAUCAGCGGAAGCAUAUCCGGUACGUGCACAGACCCGCCAUACACCUACAGUAUAUAAGGCGUCUACAAGAAAGCAAGUCGAUAGGAGUAAAAUAUAGAAAAAUCCUAUCUUGAUAUCAGAGCAAAGUAUAAGUCCCUAAUACUAUCAACAGAGGAACAAAAAGUAACCAAUCCAAAAAAAAUUCCACAUCAUGGAGAAGUAUAACAACUAUAAUUUCAGGUUCCAGAACUCAUAUACAUCACAGGGUACACAAAAUAUCUGUACAAUGGUAGUCUCUCUAUACACUGGACAUCACCCUCGGUAGUAGCCCGAGUAGCAAGGUGAUCGACUAGCAAGCCCCUAGCAAUGUCUAGCUAGACGCAACUCCCUUACCACGAUCCCUAGCCUCUCCUGUAGAUGGCUCUGUAAAAACAACAAUAAAAUAGGCGUGAGAACUAUUAACAAUAGUUCCCAGUGGGUAAGCCACCAGCCUCGACGAAUUACACCACUAGGCUCAUGAUGUACUAAAUGAAAGUAAAAGCGAUAAUUGCAUGAUAUCUAUAUGCAAGGCUAGCAGGCAAUAGGCAUGUAAUCAACAUGUAAUCAUGAUUUCUGCACUAAUGAAUCAACUGAAUAAUAGAAGUAUAGCAACUACUAUAAACAUGAAUAUAAACAUGGAUGUGUAAGUAAAUACUGUACACUAUAACUGAUGAGCAUUAAUUACUGUCCUUUGUCAUUUAGUACUUUUAUUUCAUUCAUAAGGAUCUACCCAAGAUAGUCCAGCUUGUGCCGUGCCUAAUGGCCCCGUGGUAGUAUACACUCCCCACGGCAAUCCACUUCGGCACCCAAUCCCGCACGGGCGAGCAACUGUCGCGUAGGCCAACUCCGGAGUGCCGGCUUGUAGGGAGCUACCCUCACAAGCGUGUGCGAAUGAGCACGAUGGCAAGCAAGCAAAGUCCAUAAUCCAAUACAUCUCAAUCAUCACGUUUUAUCUUGCAAUGUUCUCACUCUCGAUCCUUUGAUCGGAAUUUCAAUAUAGCAGAUAUUGAACAUAGCUAGUAUCCACUAAAUUAGUAAUUAUGUAAGAGUAAUGCUAAUUUACUUAUAGCAUUAGAAACUUUCCACUAUCAUAGCACUAUGGUUAUAGUCACAAAGCAUGUCAUUGUUCUCUACUUUAUAAGAUUGUUAUUGUUCUCUACUUUAAGAACAUACUAGAUUGUUCAUGAAUCAUUCAACUGAGCCAAACAUAAACAUGUUUACUUCUAUGCAUGCAUUUCUCUACUUAAGAAAGAUUUCAAUUCACUACACAUACAUAUAUCAACUAUGAUGGUGAUAAUGUCCUGAAUCUAUGUCGAUUUCCAAGUUACGCCAAAUGCAUUCAUAUGCUAUUUCUAUAAUAUCAUAUAGAACAUAGGAGAGCUUCACUUGCUCUGGUUAGGUCAAACUCAUCUAUUACUAGGCUCAAAUCAGCCCAAAUGAGUCUCAAGAUUUAGCUCACUAGACCUCGACUCGGCUGAAAACGAAACGUAAGAAUCGCGUCACCACGAUUACUAAAAGUCCAAUUUCGGCAAAACUCUUAAUUAGAAUAAGAUAGUAACUUGAAUCCCUGUUUUGGUACACUGUAGUACCUUACGUUUAACCUCCAGAAGCGCUCACAAGUCAGCAGCAGGCAAUCCAACGGUCGAUUGCACCUUUGCUGCGAGCAAUAGCCAAACGGCAUCAAUAAGCUUGUGUACAAGCUACUAUAAUCGAAUUCUUACUAAAUCAGUUUUAGAACUGAAAUUCUUGCUUACCUCAGGUUAGAACACCUUCUAAACCAGUUUCCAAGGUCACCAAAUGAGCUCAAUUAACUCGGAAACCUACUGCGAACAACGACCCCAAAAUCAGCUUUUUAUCGUUGAAUUAGUACCCAAACAAAGAAGAAAGAAAGUAGUUUACCUUCUUAAACCAUAAACUCAGUCCCAACUGAGUUAAUCAACAAUAUCUGACCCUAUUACAGCAGCAAAUCCACCUUUCUCUCAGCUGAACAACAACAACCCAAAAUCAGCACUUGACUCGACUAUUAAAGCAUCGAUUGAGGAAUAAUUGAGUCGAUUACCUUCUCAAGCUUCCAACCAGCACCCUACUGGUUCAGAGCUGCGAAAAACCUUCCAGAACACUCUCUUACACGUCCACGGAAGCUCUGCGACGCUCGCAAACAGCGAAGAACAGGCGAGGCGACAAAAACGAGCUAAUUCGGCGAUUUCUAUGUAGAGAGAGAAAAAACCCUAGUGAGAGAGAGAGAAGAAGGUGGAAGAACAAUCCUCUGAGCUCCAGCAACCUCUACUGAGCUCCUACAGUUGUGCUGGGCAUAAGGGAUAAGAACAGGAAGCAAAGAGACCAAAAAAAUCUUGCUGCCACGCACCUGCUGCAGCUGCUGCUUGCUGUACCGGUACAGCAUAAUACCUGUACCGGUACAGCAUAAUGCCUGUACCGGUACACAAUGCAAAAUUCGAAGAUAAUGCUACAGCAAUGCACUUUCUUACUUUUGGCCAUCCAAUCAUUCUCUAACUUAUCCAAAAACUUGCCCAAGCCUUUUAGAACAUGUCGGAUAGAUCCACAUAUCCUUCCUCAUACUCGAACUUCGCAAUUUGCAAAAAUUCAGUGUAUUACAUAUUCGCAUUCAUAUUUUUCUUCGAAUGCGAAUUCGAAUGUAGAUAUAUAUCAUAUGUUAAAUUUUUAUUAUAAUAUCCAUUAAAAAUGGAUUCGGAUUCAGAUGUAAGUCGGAUUUGCAUUCCAAUAUUAUUCAGAUAAUAAUAUAUUAAUAUGCAUAUAUAUAAAUAUGAGCUAAAACUAAAGCUAAUAAGACAUAUAAUGAAAUUAAAGGUUCACACUGAAAUUCAAAAUAUCUAUUUACCCCUAAAGGACCAAAAUAUCCUUAUUAAUUUUAAAAAACUUCUUCAAUGAUGUGAUUGAGUUUUAAAUGGGUAUUUUGAUAAUUUGAGAAUAAAUUUGAAAAUUUUGAUAGUGGUAAGAGAUAAAUAAGCAAAAAGCCCUCUAAAUUUAUAGAAGGUAUAAAAUAAAUUAGGAAUUUAUUUUUAAAAAAUAAUAAUAAUAUCUUACAAAUCUGUUUUAAAAUAUCUUACAAAUCUGUAAUAAAUCUAGUGUUGAGUUUUAGGGUGUGUUUGGUUCCACGUAAAAUUGUGGAAAAAAANAUGUGUUCUGCACCUUUGCAUUAUUAUCUCUUUAGUGCGUUACUUAAGUGAAAUUUUAGCACUUUGCCAUUUUCUACUAAGCAGGUUUCCUCUAACUUUAGGAAAACAAACCAUGCAAUAUGCUCCUACUGUAAUUUUGGAAUGUUCGAUCUUAUUCUAUCUCUUGCUAGCUAUAUGCUUCUCAUGCAAACUUACCUCUUUGCUAGCUAAAGCUUACUUUUACUGUGGUCCAUAAUGUUCUUGUAUUCUUUAACUGCAACCUUUCAUAAAUACAUUGGUCUCCCUCUCUCUCUCUCUCUCUCUCUCUCUCUCUCUCUUAUAUGAACAUUGAACACCAACACAAAAGGCGUGCUCCACAAGCUACUCCUCUCUCUCUCUCUCUAGAACUCUCUCUCUCUCUCUCCCUUCUCGAACCCUAACGAUCCCCUGAUCCGAUCUCUCCCCAUUCGAGUUUGGAUCGAUCGGAGCAUCUCGAAUCCCACCCGCAUUGCCCGCGAUUCGACGGAUCUGGAGAGGUAGGUAUGGUAUAGGGCUUCGGGGGGGAGGUCUCUGGCCAUGGCGGCGGCGGCGGAGGGCGCGAUCGGAGGAGGAGGAGGAGGAGGAGGAGGGGUAGGGGAGGGGGCGUGGGUGUUCGACGAGCGCGACGGGUUCAUCUCGUGGUUGAAGGCGGAGUUCGCCGCGGCGAACGCGAUCAUCGACCUCUUCCUAGCCCACCUCGGCGAGAUCGGCGCGCCCGGGGAGUACGAGCACGCGGCCGCGUGCGUCCACCGGCGGCGGGGCCACUGGGCCCCCGUGCUCCACCUGCAGCAGUACGUCCCCGUCUCCGAGGUCUUCUUCGCGCUCCAGCAGGCCGAGUGGCGGCGGUACCACCAGGCGGCGGCGGCGGCGGCGGCGGCGCCGUACCCUCGGCAUUUUGACGGGCCGAGGGAGAAGGAUGGGAGGAGGGGAGGUGGGUUUGCGAACCGGGGUUACCGGUUCGAUGGGGCCGGCGGGAAUCGCGGCUCGGUAUCCUCGGCUUCGGCGAGAUCGGAUGCGGAGAAGAGGGGAGAUGUGGUGGAGAAGGGCGUGGAUGUGAAAGAGCGGGUUGAAGCUUAUGCGAAAGGGAAUAGUUCGUCGGAUGCUUUAUCGGAGAAUGCAGGUGAGAACGGAUCACUGCUUCCUAUCUUAAAAAUUCUGAUACUAUUAAAAACUUGCAUUGUUGUCCAACAUCUUGUGCUUUUUACCGAUAGGGUUUUAUGAGCUUUACUUCUUGUCCUAGAAACUUCAUAUCUUGCCGUUUUUCGACCAUCGAUUCCUCAAUUGGCACAAUAAAUCAUGAUUUUUUGUCACACUGUUGUGAAAUAAUGUGAAUUAUUGGCUGUAAAUUGACAAUUUCCCAUUUUGAUAGACUUUUUGGGGGCAAAUAGCUGAUUUGAUGGGUGGCCAAGUGGGGGGAUACAUGCUGUUGUGUGCUUUAAUAUUUUCUUCCAUGUGUUGCAUUGUGUUCAGGUAAUGAUCUGAGUAGCUCAGAGACAAAUUGUGGACAGAAGGAAGGGAAAAAGCCAGUUGGCAGCGUGUGUAGUAAGUUGGAGCCUGCUGCCACAAAUGAUGUCCAAGCACUAUCUGAUCAAGGUAUCAUUUUGACUCAGUGAUGUGUAAAACCUAUCAUUGCUUUCAUGAGGAAUAAAUGGUUAACAUGCCUUAGCUAUGACUCUUUAUUGUGAUCUUAUUUCAGAUUUGUGGAGAUUUUGUCGAAAUUCAGAUCUAUGUUUAGAUAUGAUUGAAGAUACUGUAUAUUUAGCUAUUUAAGGACAUGUUAAAGGUGCGAACAUAACACAAGAGGAGAAUGCUGAGGAGGAUGAAUGGUAAAACUAACAUAUGAAAUAUAGGAUUAAAAAUAAGAUAUUUUGUUUAAGGUGGAAUUGCCUAAAUUGAGUGCAAAAUGCCUGAAGGCCAUUUGAGAUGGUACUGCCCUAUAUACAUGCUAUUGGAUUAGUCUGAAAGUGUGAAGCUGUCGAAGUAGGUGAUGUGGAAAGAGAGUAGAGGGAGACUGAAAAUGAUGUAGUUAGGAUGACCAUGAAAAUUUUAGCUGCUCUAGAUAUUAGAGAAGAGAUACCUCCAGAUGGGAUUCUGUACAGGAAGAGGAUUUCUACUCCCUAUUUCCUUUAUUUUUUUUUAAGGAUUUGCUGACCUCAAUUUGCAUAUAAGUUCAAGUUAAGUGGAGUUGACAUACACGAUAUUUAACGUUUGAGCUAGUGAAGUGUGGUUCUUUUGUUUUUGGAAUAUUAUUAAUGUACUCACUCUUCCUAUUGAAAUAAAAAAAUUAAUAGAGAAAAGUCAGAUGAUGUGACUGCAUUGCAUGUUCAGAUAGGAAUUCUGUUUGAUACUAAUACCACCAAAGAGUCAGAAUAUUGGUGAUAGAGAUGGGUGCUUUGAAUUGUUUUAUUUUUCAUUUUGAUUUGCCAUAUUAUUCCAAGAUAUGAGCUGGACUUCCUAUGCCUUCUAUGUGUAUUUUCCUUUCAUUGGUACAUCUCAUAGAGCUCAUUGUGGUAUGCCAUAGAUUCAUGUAGAACAGGUAGUCAUUCAACCUUCUAUUCUUCUUUACCAUAACGACAAUCUAAUUUGUGCCUUUUGAGUCUAGAUUUUACUGCCUAUAGAUUUCAGACAAAGAUGUAUGCCAGUAUAAGUUUAUUUUAUUCAGUUAUUGUGGGUGAAAAAAAAUCUAUGCAAAGUGACAUAUGCUGGAGAAUUUUAGAGUUUGUAAGAUUCUUAGAGAUCAUCCCUUAUUGGUGUAAGAAAUGACCUCCUCAUAUAAAGGUCUCCUUACUUGUAGUAAAGCUAAAACAUAUACUUCCAUUAGAUACUUAACAUUUCUUUUACAGUCUUUGUAAUGUUCUUUUCGCACAAUUUGUGUCAGUGAGAACUUUUCCUCAGUUGGAUGCAGUUUUCAGUGCCCUGCAUUUUAAUUUCUCUUUUAAUUGAUAUAAGCAUGGUUAGAACUGGAGAAGAACUAUAACUUGAUGGCUUCAAAUUUGAUCCUCUCUCUUGUAGUUCAUGAUUCAUGAAACAUGUAUCUAGUAAUGAAUUCGAACUUUAAUGUGUAUAGUGUUAAAUGAGUUCUGCAGGUAUUUCUCUGUUGUUUGCAGGGAGGAAAAUUAAUUACCUUCCUUUCUUUGAAGUCUCUUAUCCUUGUGCACAUUCUUAUGUUAGUUCUUUUACACAAAAACUUUUCCAGUAUAAAUAAUCACUUGAAAUUUUCUCCGUGUAUUCACUUUUUCUUGCUUUUUCAUAGACUUUGCAUGCAUCUAACUCAAUACUCUUAUUAGUCUUGGCUCAUUCUUUGAUGCUCUGGCAUCUGCUUCUGUUUUGUUUGUAUUCUCAACUUCUUAUCACUUUAUUCAUUGUUUUCCUUUUCUUAAUCAACAUAUUAUGUAUGUCGUGUUAUCAGUAACUUCAUCAGAUUGUGCUUGUGUGAUCAAGGGAAUGUCUUAAAUAACUUAUCUUUCUUCUGUUUUAUAAUUGUCCAGGAGAUAUCAGUGAUUAUGUUCCACACAGUAAUGGCACUGUGACAACAAAUAUUGAGGGAAAGGGGAAACCAAUACCAAUCCCCAAAGAUUUUGAGGUUAAUGAACAAAGUGAUGGCAGGAUAGUACGUCUUCUUAUGCCGCUUCCUUAAAUGAUCUCUUAUCUGGUCCUUAGAACAAGACUCAUUGUGUUAUAUUGUUUUCCAUCCUAACAGUCAAAAUAUGACAUUUUUCCUCUAGGUUAAUAUAGUUGAAGGUCUUAAGCUCUACGAUGGAUUACUGGAUGCAACAGACAUGAAUCAGCUACUUUCAUGGGUAAAUGAAAUGAGAUCUGCUGGUCGUCGAGGAGAAUUACAAGGUAAGCUCGCCUUUGGCUAUCCUUUCCGACUGGACUUUAGAAACUUAUAUAUAAUUUGAUCAUUCGAUGUAAUAUAUAUGCUAAUAUAUGCGGAUCUGUUAAUUAUAUUUUCUGUGAUUUAAGAACCAGAUGCUUUGACGUGACAUUGUUUGUUAAAUUUGGCUUAUUUUUUAGGGAAAAAACAUUUUCUUGGAACGUGUUAUUUUUAGUACCAAUGUAAUGUAUGCUCGGUUUUUCUUUGCACUUUAGCAGGAUAAUUUUUGAAGGAUUUUCUGGCUGUCGCAUUUAUGACAUGUUGGCAAAUACCUUAAAUUCUGUAAUUUGCAAAUAAUUGUAUGAAUCACUCCUUCCUGUUUAUUUCUCAUCUUGAAGAGCAAAAUAAUAGCUUAUUGCUACUUUUUAACUUGUCAUGGGAUAGAAAUUUGUCUUGCAUUUGUGAUCUUUAUGUAAGUGUGGAUCUUAUCUUAUUGACUUUCUUGACCCUGCAGCUUCUUCUAGAUAUACACUUGUGUUAGGGAGCUUGAUACUUUCAGGGUAUAGCUUGAAUAACUGGAAUUCUAGAAUAUGGUGUUUUUUUUCUUGAAUAUACUGUUUGAUAUGAAUAAUCUUAAAAUUGCAGGAAAACUUGGUAGUAGCAUGGUAACCUGAAAAAAAAAUACAACACUCAAACAGUCAAUUUAUGAGAACACAGAACGUCAAUAUUAUACCCCUACGCAUGCAAACUCGCACUUUUACUUCUUUCUUCUGUGAUCUAUUGCCCCAUUGUAACCUGGACCGCGUCCCUCCCCUUCCCCUCCCUUCUUUUGCUAGUUUUGGUGUACUUCCUGACAGCCUGGCGACCCGCCAGCAAUGUGCCAUCCCUCUCUUUCUCUAUCUAGCUCCCAUUAAUCCCUUCUUCCCUUACCCUUCCCUCUCUGAGUGGUGAGGCCUUCUGGCACUGUGGUUACCUGCCAGCUACCAACAAUCAGCCUAUGCCCAUAUGACCAGCUAGCGAUUGACUUAUGCCCAUGGUGAUUUCCUCCUCAUGGCAUGAUGGCCUGCCAAUAGUCGGCAUACAGCUUGCGUGCUCGUGCAAGCUUGCCAGCGCUCGCUAACCCUCGUCCCCCGCAGCCUUUUAAUCCUUUCAGCAAUUGGUUUGGGCCUGCGUCUGACUUGUGUCAUGGCGAUCAGUAUGUGACUAUUCCCCUGCCUCUCCCUCUCCUCUCACCUCCCUUCUCCUCCCGCAUGGCCUCAGGAAAAGUUCCUUCAAGAGGACAAUGGAAACACUUUGUUACCUCGAGUAAAGUGCCUGAGAUGAAUCGUGCCUAUUUCAACAGUUUUCUUUACCUUGGAUUUUUCCUUAGGUAUUUAAACCAAGCCGCAUGUUUUUUAUUUAGCCUACUCUUUUUCAAAAAUUGAAGGAACACUUUCAGACCAAUUAAAUUGAUUCAACUUAGAACUGUUCUUCCCAUCUCAUAGGGCUGCUUAUCUUAACCAUAACUUUUAUGGAUAUCUUUCUUUUUUUGGCGGACUUAAGAUAAAGUUUGUCGACUUGUCGUCGUCACUUCUGACGUAUUACUUUGGGAGUUUCCUUUUACAACUUAAAUUGUUGAAGAGUGCUUGCGCUUUGCAUGGUGUAAACAUAUGGCCUUUAAUGUAAAAGUGCUUGCACUUUGCAUGGUGUAAACAUAUGGCCUUUAAUGUAUAAUAAUUAACACAUAUUUCUGCAUCUUCAUAUUAUAUAGAAAGUUAAAAGCUGUUUUCAGCGUUAUGCUUUUGAAAUUAUUUUUCUAGUAUAGAAACCCUACGAACUUUGUUCUAUUGUACUAGGAAGGUAUAUAUAUUUUCCUUUGGCUGGCGGAAUUUCUGAUUUGUGUGGAUGAACUGAUGAAGCCUUGGUAAUUAGUCAUACUUAUGUCCUUCGUCCUUAUGUAGAUGAACCGGCUGCUGGCAUUAGCAGUGCAAAGCUGCUUCCAAUAAUGCUGGUUUUAUCUGGAGCUUGGGUUUCUUUGCCCAUGUGCUUGGUGGUCGAUACUGCCCUACAAAUGAUGUUAAUUUAUAUGCUGUUAUGUGUGCCUUCUUUUUUGACCCCAUAUUUUAGAUAGCAGUUUUUAACAGUUUUUUAGUGUGGUUAUGCAUGUAGACGUGAUAUUUAGUACCAAAUCUAUAAGGUCAUUUAGGUUUGUUAUUGUUGAUAUAGGGGCCACCUAAUAACUAUAUUCUGGGAUCAAGGAAAAUAUAUAAUGAUUUUUGUGGAUCUCCUCUCUCUUUCGUGUCUAUCAUUUGUUAAUUUGACGAUUCCCUUAAAGAAAAUCACUUCUAGUUUUUCUCUUUCUUAUUUUCCACUUUGAUUAUGAAAAACAGGGCAGACGAUGAUGAUAGCAAAGAGACCAAUGAAGGGUCAUGGAAGGGAAGUGAUUCAGUUAGGCAUUCCCAUGGUUGACGGCCCUCCAGAAGGUAAAAACACUGCCCAAAUUUCCACAGGUUUUACUGUCCGAUGGCAAAAUUUAAUUAUUAAAUCAGUACUCGAAAUUUUGUGGUAAUGAAUUUAUCUAAACAUGUGCUCAUAAUUUUAGAUCGAAAGGUGGAGGCCAUCCCUAGCAUAAUGCAGGAUGUGCUUGACCGCUUAGUACGGCUCCAAGUUUUGCCGGUCACACCUGAUUAUUGUAUUGUUGACUUCUUUAGUGAGGUAAGUCAUUCUUUCUAGUUUCUGUAUCAAAAUAUUGUUGAGAAAAAUAAAUAGUGAGCCUCACAUAUGAUGCCACUUUUAUAUAGGGGGAUCAUUCUCAUCCUCAUAUUUGGCCACCUUGGUAUGGUAGGCCUGUUUCUACUUUAUGCUUGACUGAAUGCGACAUGGUCUUUGGCCGAGUAAUGGUGUUUGAUAGAGGAGGAUAUAAUGGUGCUCUACACCUAUCUUUGCAAAAUGGGUAUGUCUUUUAUUGCAUUUUGGCUAAUUCAUCUCUACCUCUGGAAUCAGUUAUUUAGUUAGCAUAACUGCAUGAUUUUCCUAAAAAGGCACAGUUUUUUCUUCUCUUUCCUUUAAUUAAUAUAUAUAUGCUUUUCCUUUUUUUGGCGUAUUCUCAACUCUUUUAUUUGUUCUGUUAUCUAUGCACUGUUCACUUUGCAAACUGCAUGGCAAAGUCAUCUACACUUCGUUUACGGAAUCUAGUAAAUACUGAGCUGGGUAUAGAGAGUGACGAGAAUCGUGCCUUUUCUUAGGCUUCAAGUGAGAACUUUUAAGGCAAAUCCCAUUUUAUGCUUGAUGUUCUGCAUAUUAAUGUUUGGUAGAGUAAGUCUCUUAAGGAAAUAUGACAUUCCUCAUUGCUUAUACUUCUCUCCAAGCUUUCAACAUGCUUGUUGGAUGAAAGCAUCUAAUACAUUUUCUUCAUCAUGUUGGUAUCUUUCGUAGUUUCCAUUUGAGAUCCUUGCCCAAAGAAACUUUAAAAGAAGUUCCUGUAGUUGGUUCUUCAUCAUGUAUGGCAUCUUUCGCUGUUUUCAUUUGAGAUGACCAAAGAAGCUUUAAAACAAGUUCCUGUAGUCGGAUCCAUUUUGGCUGAUUGAUGAAUCGAAUCUAAUGCAUAUUUCUUGUUCUUUCCAGGUCUCUCCUCCUGUUGCAGGGUAAAAGUGUGGACCUCGCAAAGCACGCCAUCCCCUCCAUGCGCAAACAACGAAUAUUACUCACUUUCGGAAAGUCCCAACCGAGAAGGAACUCUUGGUCCGAAAACUCUCGCUUCAAUUCACCCUCUCCGCCUCCGUCCUCGCCAUGGGGUCCGCCAUCAUUUAGGACGCCCAACUUCUCCCGCCACCCUCCGGGCCCUAAACCCUACGGGGCGGUCCCCGUGACUGGCGUCCUCCCGGCCCCACCCAUCCAUCCACAUCAACACCUCGCUCCACCGCCCAACGGAAUCCAGCCGCUCUUCAUUUCACCGGCACCCACUGCGGGCCCUGCAGCUGCCCCUUACCCUCCGCCGGCGCCCGUCGCAAUACCGAGGCACUCUGCUCCGUGGCUCCCUCUCCUCGGCACGGGGGUCUUCCUCCCUCCCGGCUCUUCGCAAACAACUCAAGCUCUCCAACCUCCAGUUUUUCCCUCUUCUGGCGAUCCUAGCUCCUCCCAUCCAGAGACUUCUUCUUUGCUCAACACCAAGUGCAUCGGGACGGAAUCAUCAAAUGGCCACAGUUCUUCUCCCCAAACUUCUCCUAAGAACAAAUCAAACGAGACGGGAGCUAAACCCGAGUGCAAUGGGGAUUCAAACCACACUAGCAAUGCUUCUCAAAAGACGAUUUCGGUUAAGGAACAGGAAAAUGAUGGCCCAAAGGUUGCGAACAAGCCCGCGAGUAAUGGUGCUAACUAGAGGAAACAGGAACUGUAUAGAUACGAAAGGAGGACGGAAAAAAAUGGGAUUCUUUCGCCGGGAACAACUGUGAAUGGUUAUAGCUGGAAUUGUUUAAACGAGUCGCAUCGCACAAAAUGUAAAUCGCGGGAGAGGGUCAAGUGACUUAUAUAUGUUAGUCGUGACGCGAGAACUUAUUUAAAUUUUGUAGGCGCCGUUACGCCGCCUGAAUUUUACCUUUUUAAUUUUUUUUUUUUCCUUUAGGGUUUGCUGUUUAUUAUUGUCAAACUUACAAACUAUUUAGUUUCUAUUGAAUCAGGUGAAGAGGCUGGAGUAAUCUGUAGGGACUUGUUCAAGUGCAGGUGCGAUCUAUCUUUACAAUUUAUGAAUUCUAAAUGCUUUUUAUUCUGCACUAUUGCCGACAUUUUUGCCUCACUUCUUUCUUAGUUAAAAUAUACAAAAGUUACAUGAACUACGGAUCAUUUUGAUUUGGCUAUCUAAUUUAUUUAAAAUUUGAUUUUAGUAUUUAUUCUUUCAAAUUUUUUUUUUUUGAUUUGAGUCGGUCAUCGGUAUUUUGACUUUAAAAUUUUAGCUAAUUACUGAAAUAAUUUUGUAGUUACGAGAGCUGCAUAAAAUAUAUACUAAUUAAAUCUGUAAAGAUAAACAAUAUAUUUAAAAUUUGAAAUUAAAGUAUCGUUAAUUGAUUCAAAUUAAAUAAAUUGAAAGAUUAGAUAGCAAAAUCAAAAUUUUUAGAGGUUGGAUAGAUAGUUCAGAGAAGUUUUGUAUAUUUUUAUCUCAGUUUUAUUAUAUGCUUUCCUAAACUAGAGAACAUUUUAAAUUGCCCCCUCAAUUCCAAUUUUUGAUCCGCACUGUUUAAAUCUUUGGGUUUUUUUUUUUAUUUUUUUUAUUUUUUUUUUGAAUUGAAUGAUUUUGGGCGAUUUAACAAUUUCAUCCAAUUCAAUACCUCUAAUUACAUUUUAGCAAAUAAAAUCAGAACAAAUAACGGCUCACGGGUAAUUGAGUUGGGAAAUUAACACAUUUUGUUAUUUUUCAAAGUAGAAUAAUUCAAAUGAAGAAACUUGGAUUUAAGUUGAGGGGCCUAUUUUAAAACAGGGCCUAUAGUUGAGUAAAAAGCAUUUAAGUUAUAUUUAUGACUUUAUUAUUUGUACAGAUAUUUACACAGCUUUAAAAUACAGAAAAAAAUUACUUCUUCUAUUCCAAUAACUAAAACAUAAUAAAAAAUAAAAAGAUAUAUUCACUUUACUCUUCAACAAGUAUAUAUUCAAAACUAUAAAGUGUUUCUUUCUUUCUUUUUUUUUUUUGAGGGUUGGAUUUAACAAAAAAAAAAAAGCGAAAAAUACAACAAGAAAUAUAAAAUCUAAAUAAUAAAUGGUAAAUAAAUGAGUGUUAUUUCUAAUCUUUUAAUGUUGGAAAAGGUAAAGAGGAUCAAAAAGGAGAGUACAACAUAAUGGCACAUAUAUAUAUAUAAUAUAUAUAUGGAAAUGGAAAUAUGGGCACUUCCAUAUAUAUAUUAAUAUAUAUAUAUAUAUAUAUUAUAUAUAUAUAUAUAUAUUAUUAUAAAUUAAUUGGAUAUAGAUGUAUUAACCACAGCAAAUUCCAAAUAUUGUUGAUGGAAAAUAUUUUGACAUAAAAGGACAAUCAUCUAUGCACUGUAGCAUUUUGAGCAAUUUUUUUUUGUAGGGCUCUCAACAAGCGGCUCUUGUUAACUCAGUAUAUUAAACGAACUAACCAUUAGUUGGCUCGUUAAAAUAUCUCAAACAUGAGUUGGCUCGUUAAAAUAUCUAUAAAAUAUCGACUUUUUUAAUGAGUCGAAUAUGAUGUUUGCUUGCAAGCAGCAAAUUAAAUUAUCAGCCCUACUACUAAGUAAGAAGUUUAAGAGUAAAAAUAAAAUUUUAAUCAAUAAUUAAAAUUCGCUAAAAUGUAGUGCUUUUACAUUUGAAUUUGGUCUAAAAUCUAAAUAAUAAAUUUAUUAUUAUAUACUAGUAUAUAUAGAGUAGAGGCUAGAAUGCUAUGCGUAGCAAAGCUGCAUCUAUUGCCACCCAUUUGUUUUCGAUGAUGGAAUCUGUUAAUUGACGAUCGUGGGCAAUCCAUUGAACAGGGAUCUAUACCAUUGACAUAUCUAGAUCAAAUUUCAAUAUCAUUUUGACAUCAUUAACCCAAGAUCAAAGGGUGUCAAAAAUUGUAAUUUUAAUGUAGAUUAUGAGGCUUUUCUUGUUUAACGGGUGUAAAGUAUCAAAUCAACUUGACAUUUUGGUUAGAAUAUUAUUAUAUAUAAUAUAUAUAGUAUAUAUAUAUAUAUAUAGUAUUAUUAUAUAUAAUAUAUUAUAUAAAUUAUAUACUACUAUCGAAUAGUACGUAGCCCUUGUACUUUGAGUUUUCAGACGUGGAUGAAAAGAUUGUGCGGUAGGAUGAAUAGUGCGUCCCCGUUAAAUUGAUAGUUGGUCCCCCAGAGUGUUGAGGUGGUUGGUUUAAAGUUAUAACUCUAAGCGAGGUGAAAUGCAUCAAAAGGGUAUGUCUAUACGGUUAGAAAACUCAUAACGUUACCAAGGCUUGGUACCUAUCGAUAGUUAUAGUAGCCGACUCUAAAUACUAUAAUAUAUAUAUANNNNNNNNNNNNNNNNNNNNNNNNNNNNNNNNNNNNNNNNNNNNNNNNNNNNNNNNNNNNNNNNNNNNNNNNNNNNNNNNNNNNNNNNNNNNNNNNNNNNNNNNNNNNNNNNNNNNNNNNNNNNNNNNNNNNNNNNNNNNNNNNNNNNNNNNNNNNNNNNNNNNNNNNNNNNNNNNNNNNNNNNNNNNNNNNNNNNNNNNNNNNNNNNNNNNNNNNNNNNNNNNNNNNNNNNNNNNNNNNNNNNNNNNNNNNNNNNNNNNNNNNNNNNNNNNNNNNNNNNNNNNNNNNNNNNNNNNNNNNNNNNNNNNNNNNNNNNNNNNNNNNNNNNNNNNNNNNNNNNNNNNNNNNNNNNNNNNNNNNNNNNNNNNNNNNNNNNNNNNNNNNNNNNNNNNNNNNNNNNNNNNNNNNNNNNNNNNNNNNNNNNNNNNNNNNNNNNNNNNNNNNNNNNNNNNNNNNNNNNNNNNNNNNNNNNNNNNNNNNNNNNNNNNNNNNNNNNNNNNNNNNNNNNNNNNNNNNNNNNNNNNNNNNNNNNNNNNNNNNNNNNNNNNNNNNNNNNNNNNNNNNNNNNNNNNNNNNNNNNNNNNNNNNNNNNNNNNNNNNNNNNNNNNNNNNNNNNNNNNNNNNNNNNNNNNNNNNNNNNNNNNNNNNNNNNNNNNNNNNNNNNNNNNNNNNNNNNNNNNNNNNNNNNNNNNNNNNNNNNNNNNNNNNNNNNNNNNNNNNNNNNNNNNNNNNNNNNNNNNNNNNNNNNNNNNNNNNNNNNNNNNNNNNNNNNNNNNNNNNNNNNNNNNNNNNNNNNNNNNNNNNNNNNNNNNNNNNNNNNNNNNNNNNNNNNNNNNNNNNNNNNNNNNNNNNNNNNNNNNNNNNNNNNNNNNNNNNNNNNNNNNNNNNNNNNNNNNNNNNNNNNNNNNNNNNNNNNNNNNNNNNNNNNNNNNNNNNNNNNNNNNNNNNNNNNNNNNNNNNNNNNNNNNNNNNNNNNNNNNNNNNNNNNNNNNNNNNNUAUAUAUAUAUAUAUAUAGUCUUCUAUACUAUCUAUAGUACCAGGGCUUCGGUAUUAUAGUCUCGUUUUUGAUCUUAGGGUGUUCAAAUCAACGAUUCACACAGUUAAAACUGAUCUUGGGUAUUUAAAGUUUUUAGAAAUAAAAUUUUAUAUUUUUUCGAUAUAGUUUACUUUAUGAUCAAGUCAUUUUAAAAUUGUCAAUUUUCAAUGGCUACUAUAGCGAGUUCGGAGUUUAACGGUGUAAAAGAAUCUAAAUUUCUUCAAAUUUUGAUAGAAAAUACUUUAAACUAUCUAGAUUAAGGUUAACAUUCUUGAUCUUGAAUUUAAAAGUCCUAUACUCAAAUUUUAAAGAUUAUUCAAUUUUUACCGUCCAUUUUGACAUAAUUUAUUUACUAAGUAAAUGUCGAAAAAAGCUAAAAUUUUAUUCUUAAGAACUUCAAAUAUCCUAGAUUAUAUUUAACGGUGUGGAUCAUUAAUUUGAAUACCCUAAGAUCGAAAACAAGACUAUAGUACCGGAGCUCCGGUACUAUAGAUAGUAUAAUAGCCUAAUUCUCUCUCUCUCUCUCUCUCUCUCUCUCUCUAUAUAUAUAUAUAUAUAUAUAUAUAUAUAUAUGGAGCUACUAUGCUAUCGGAAGUAUAAAGUAGUCGGUGCUUCCGAUUUUUGAGCCCUUGGAUCAAAGAUUUUGCGAUUGGGAUGAUAACGAUCCUCUUAAGGUUGAGUGGUCCCUCUAGGGUUGAGUGGUCCCUAUUGGUUAAUAAUAUUAAUCCAAUGGUUAGAAAUGAUCAAUGAGGUUGAUUUAAUGGCUAAAAAAUCGAAAGCACCAACUACUUUAUACUUCUGAUAGCAUAGUAGCUCUACUAUAUAUAGAGUAUGGCUGCUAUGCUAUCGAUAGCACUAAACACUUGGUGCUAUCAAGUUUUCUACCAUUAGAUUAACCUUUUUAUUAUUUUUACUCGUUAGAUUAUACUAUUCAACCAACUACCCACUUAACCCUAGGGGCCCACAUCAUCCUAACAGCACAUUUUUUAAUCCAAAAGCUAAAAAACUAAUAGCACCAAUAGCUUGGUGCUAUUAAUAGAAUUCCAGCCUAGUUUUAUAUAUAUAAUUGGACUGGAAUACUAUUAAUAGUAUUUGAAUUUUUUUACUAUCAAUUUUUUAACCCUUAUAGAUGAAAAUUUAUAGAUUAGCUAAAUUAGAUUAUAGGAUUUAAUUACAACAGUUAUGAAUAUUCGAAUUAAAAAUUAUAAUAACUUAAAAUUUAAGUAUCAAAAUAUCACCCAUCUUAUAGUUUUCGGGCCAAAUGUGCAAUGUACCCUUUUAAAAAAUAUCAAAUUGUGUGUGAUCAACCCUCUUUUUUUUUUUGUUUUUUAAGUUUUAGAAAGGUAUAAGACAUUAGAACAGCUUAAACAAGUAGUACAAAUGGUCCCUGUACUUUUGUUUUUGGCAAUUUAGUCUCUGUACUUUUACUUAAAAUAUUUUAAAAAAAAGAGGGUUGAUCCAAGGAUAGUUAUAAAUUGAGAUAUAAGCGGAGAUUACAUCAAUUUUACGUUUAGAUGAAAAUUGUAUUAUUCUUGAGAAUUAAAAAAAAAACGUUUGGUCAGGUAAGAUUGAAUAAGAAGGGUAGUAGAUUUUAUAAAUAAAAAAUAAUGAUAUUACCCUUUUAAUAUAUUUGAAUUUAAAUUUUUAAAAUUUUAAUUUAUAUUUUUCAAUUUAAAAUUCAAACUUUGAAAUCUCAAAAUUUAAAAUUAAAGUUUUAAAUUUAAAAUCUCAAAUUUUAAAUUCAAAUUUUAAAUUUUAAAUUUCAAACUUUAAAUAUAAGAUCAAAUUUUAAUUUGAAAAAUAUAAAAUAUCAAAUUUUAAAUUUCAAAAAUUUAAAAUAUCAAAAUUAUAAUUUAAAAUUUAAAAUUUAGAAUUUAAAAUUAUAAACUUUAAUUUUGAUAUGACAAAUUAUAAAUUUUAAAAAUUUAAAAAUUUAAAAUUUAACUAUUUAAUUAGAUAAAUAAUAAUGAAUUAUAAAUAGAUUAUUAUUUAAAUAUUUAUUAAUUUAAUAACUUAAAUAAUUAAUUAUUAAAAAAUUAAUUAUAAUUUAUAAUUAUUUAUAACUUAAUUGGUAGAGGAAUAAAUUAGAGAAUAACUUGUUCCACCCAAUAGAUGGAACUACUAUUCUCCCCUCUUAACAGGUUAUUUCGAAAUAACCCGUUAACGCGGAUAAAUUAAUAUGCCUUUUUUUUUUUUUUUUUUUUAAGAAUAGUGGGAUAUAAGGUGUUAUUUUUCUUUUUUCCCACAACCAAACAGGGCCAUAAUAAGUGAAUAAUUAAUUUGCAAUGUCAUAGAAGGAUACNUAUUAACGUGCCAAUUUUGUUUGGUGUUUAGCAAGAAUAGUGGGAUAUAAGGUGUUAUUUUUCUUUUUUCCCACAACCAAACAGGGCCAUAAUAAGUGAAUAAUUAAUUUGCAAUGUCAUAGAAGGAUACAAUAAUUAUUUUAUUAGACAAAUUAAUCUUUUUCUUGAUGUUGGAAAAAUUACAGUGACCAAGUUGCAAUAUCAGGAUAGUAUAUGGACUAUCAUGAUGUCCACUAGAUAGACAAUUUUUUUUAAAAAAACUUAUUUUAGGUUUUUUUUUUUUUUUUUUUAAUUCUCUCAAUAUUUUAAAAUUAAAACUUCAAAAUCAAUCUAUCAUUUUUUUUAAGGCUCAAGAGCUCAUUAUUUAACUUUCAUGCCGCAAUAAAACCUUCAAAUUUCUUCUAUUUAUCAAACGCCGUGACUUUUGCUUCUGCUUUUCUUUCCGAACGUUGAAUAUAAAAAAUAUUAAAAUAUUAGUCUCUGAUUUCUUAAGUUUUUAGAGAACAACAGUUGUCUCUUAUAAUUUGGCAUGAUAUAAGAGUAGAAGAUCCAGAAUUUGAGUCUCACCAGUCUCCUAGCAAUUGAAAAAUAUCGAGCCCAAACACUUGAGGAAAAAUACUUAAUACAAUUUAUAUAAAAAUAUCGUUAUCUGAUAACUUAAGCUUUCAAAAAAAAAUUGAUUACUUCAUAUAAUUUAGCUCCCAAGCAUUUGAAACAAAAAAAUCAAUUGUUUUAUAUAAUUUAGCACCUGAUAAAAUUACUGUAAUGAUCCAACCCGCUAGCAACAAUAACUCGUUGGGCUCAAACCAUCGGUCCAAAAUGCUUAAACUCAGUUAUUAUUACUAGCGUGUAACCCUCAUAUAAACUGAUCGAAAUUAGUAUCCCAUCCGAUGUGAGACUAUUGGGGUGUUACAAACUCUUCAUGUUUAGAUUCUGAGGUCCUCAUCAGGUCCAAACUAGAUCACAGACAGACAGAGUAGGACCAGAAUUGUCAGACGAUGUGAGAUUCUAGAGAUGGCUCCUACGGGUUCAAGAGGUGGCUCCCACCAAAUCCGUUGGUGUAGCACUUUGUUCCGCAUAGCACUUAGCUCUCACACUUCCAGCUGGUAUUCGGCUCUGAUAACAGUUACGUACAACGACCCGAUCCGGUAGCAACAAUAAUUCGUUGGAUCCAAACCACCAGCCCAAAAUGUUUAAACCCAGUUUUUUUAUUAUUAACGUGUAGGCCUCAUAUAAACUGAUCGAAAUUAGUAUCCCAUUCGAUAUGGCACAGGUGUAACAAUUACAAAGCCCAAAUCAUUAAAAAUGAGUACAAUUUGUUCCUCAAUCACCGUCAAUAACAUCCUCAAUCAUCUUCAAUAACUCAACAAUUCCUCAAUCAUUCUCCAAUAACACAACAAUUACAAGAGCACUCAACAUCCCCUAUCAAUCAAACUUUUCCCCAACACAUCUCCAUCAUAACCCUAACUAAUUAAUAAGAAAUUUGCAAUUAAUCCCUCCUACAAAAUACAACAUUAUUAUCUUUUCCAACAUCCUACAACUUCUUACAACAACAAUUCCUACCUACAUUGCUGCAGGAUGAAACAACUUUCUAGUUACAACCUUGGCUAAGCCCCAUUCAUACAACACUCGACCGAAUGCGUCGUAGAACACGAAAUUCGCCUCGAGGGGGCUCAAUCGCAGCGACAUGAAUCCUUGCCCGUCGUAGAAGAACUGGAGCAUGUCGGAGUUCGGCCUGAAUGCUCCCCUCCACGCUUUUGACCCUCCCCCGCUCGUGAAGUACUGUAUCGGGCUAGUACCGCAAAAAAAAGGAAAAAAAAAGAUAGCGUAAGAUUCGAAAUACGAUUGACGAACGUCUGCAAUAGAGUAAAUAGCUCUGUGAACACAUGGAUUUCAUCGAGACGAAAAAGUAACUUACCUAUCAAUGCUACUAAUGUGCUGGAGACAAUGAUCAUGACCAUUGACGUAAAAGUCGACUUCGUGCGCCUGUGAAAAACAUUCAAUCGAUCGAGCAAAUUAAAGCAUUAGUACAAACUAAGUUGCUUUUAGAGAUUCGUUAUCGACGACGAGUCGAACUAUAUAACAAAGUUUAAGUACAUUAGAUUACAAGAUUAAUCAUUUUAUUGCCUUGAGGAUGGGGAGGAGUGAUUUGAGAAGCUCUUUGGUGUCGCCGUGCUCGCUAACGCUUCUCAUUGUGUGAUGCCCCACAACAAUUUUCCAUGUCGCAACCGAUUCUUUCAAUGCGGAGUCCAAAUCCUACGCACAGAUCAUAAAAACACCCAAAGUUAUCGACGAGAGCUCAAAUUUACGAUCAAUCACGCAUCUUUUACGCACCUUUGAGAGGUUUUCGAUGUAAGUUUCGCGGGGAGAAACCUCCCUCCAGUCAUAGUGAUGGUCCUCAGGAUCAGUCCAAUACUUGUUGACGAAAGGGGUGGUAUCGACGAAGAAAAAAUCCGCGAUUUCUGAGAGAAAGGAAAGCAAAAGAGAUAAAAGAUCGAGAAAGGUCGAUCGCAAAUAAUUAAACCUAAAUAAUCGGAGAAUAAUGUAAGUUUUUACCUGCAUUGACAAUAAAAGAUCUCAUGCAAGUGAAUCGGGGAUCGAUCCUUCGAACUGCGUCGCUUAGUUGAGCUAGAACAUCACCCCUAUAAUCAUGAUUUCCGAGAACUAGAGAAAUAACACAAAAAUCAACAAAAAUCGCGCUAAAACAUUUAUAUAUGUUAAUAACUAAAAAUUUAUAUAUAUAUGUGUGGCGAAAAAAUUAUUACCAGUGUACCAUGGCUUGUGUAGGCUCUUUGCAGUGUAAAUGUUGGAGAAUGAUUCUUCGAACGCAGUAUCGUUGACGCCCGUUAAACCAUUUUCGUAGAAAUUAUCGCCGGUGGAUAUAACAAAAUCUAUGUCUAAUUCCUCUCCAAUCCUUCCCAUCUAUAAAAUCAAUCACAUUUUACAAAAAAUUUGGUUACAUUAAUUAGUUUCAAACUACAUAUUUGUUACUUAAUCUUUUUUUUAUACUUUGAUAAUAAUUGGUUCCUAAUUAGGGUAAUUUGAGAAUAGGAAUAAUUUGUUACUCAUCUAACCAAUAAAAAAAGAGAAAAUUGUCACCUCGCUAAUUAAAAACCCAAAAACUAACCUAAACAAACUAUAAAAUUAAAAGAAAGGGAAAAAAAUUCAACAACAGCAUUGAAGAUGCUGAUGAAGAGGUCAGGGGUUCGAUCUUCUGCUCGUGCAACUAUAAAAUAUGGCUCGAGAAACAAACUAAAUAUAUAUAUAUAUAUGUAGACUCAAAAGUAGUUAUAUAAUAAUUAAGUUGGUGCGAAAAUUUAGACCUGAGUUGCGACUAGGGAUUGGUUGUAGUUCCCUCGUCUCCCCCAAUCGCCGACGACGAGAAGGCUCAACGACCCGUCGCUCUUCGUCGGCUGAUCGAUCCUCGUGAGCUCCGCGAUGGCCGGCCCCGAGCAGAACACGAGCAGGAUCGAGAGGAUCAGAACCAGAGCCAUGGUCGUAUCAGAAAUCGAUGUAACCAUGGCUCUGGAUCUUCAAGGAAAAAAAAGACAGCUUGCGUAUAAUGCAUGCGAGGAACAACACAAAUAAGCAAACUCCUAAAAAUAUAUAUUAUCUAAAUAAACACGCAUAUUUAAAAAGUGAGAAGUGAAAGCAAGUGGAAAGUGAGUCGUGUCGUAAAAGACACCACCUUGUUUUUAUUAGUGGAAGCAAUUUUGGUGUGCGUGGAGAGCGAGGAAAACGAGGGGUACUGGUGCGAGAAAAUGCUAUUUUGUACAUUCAAAAAAUAAGAUAUUUAAUUUUAAAAUUUUAUUCUGAAAAAGCCGUUCAAAUAAUCAAAAUUGAGGACGGUACUAGACGCACCCAAAAUUUUUGGCAACUCAUUAUUACACGUACCUAUCUAAAGUUUCAAAUAUAUUUUUUAAUUUUUUAUAUUUUUAAACAAAUAAAUAAGAGUAGUAUGAAAAUACAAUUUAUGUGGUUUCGCAUUUUUCUCACUUUACUACUCUAUAAUUUAAGUUGUAUUACUUUAGUAUUUUAUGUUUUCAAUUUUCUCUUUCUAUUAUCCUCUCUUUUAAUUUUUUCGUUAAAUCACUGACAAAGUUAAAAUUAUAGGGUACUAAAAUAAAAAUUCGAUAAAUCACAAGAUACUAAAGUGAAUAUUCGAUAAAUCAUAAGUGGGGUAUUUGAAGUUUUUUGUAAAUGAUUUAACGGAGAGUUAACGGUAGUGCUGAUAGAAAAAAGAAAAAUGAACCACAGUAUACUAAAGUAAUAUAUUUUAAACCACAUGAUAUUAAAAUGAGAAAGUGUGAAACCACACGUAUAGUAUUUGAAGUUUACCCUAAUAUAUGAUUUAUAUCUACAUUUUUUGGGUCUACAAGUAUUGUUACUUGCAAAUAAAAAAUAAAUAAAUAAUUUUUCGAUUGAAAAUUCCCCUUUGAUACAACACGUUGAGACUUUUCCCUCUAAUAGCUUAAAACAUAAUUAUUUUUUUGUGAUUUUUAUAUUAUUUUUGAAAGUAAACUAAUUUUAAAAAAUAAUAGUACACUAAUAUAUUCAAUAACAUUUAUAUAUGUGUCUAUAAUUUAUACCUAAAUUAUCGAUCUGAUUGGAGCCGCUUACGAUAUAUAAUUUAUACUCCAUUAAUUUUAAAGAAAACUUCAAAAAAACCCCUGUAGUUUCACACUUUUUUAUUUUAGUACCCUGUGGUUUAAGGUGUAUCAAGUUAGUAUAUAUUCUGUGGUUUCUCAUUUUAUCACUUUAGUACCCUAUGGUUUAGAGUGUAUCAAGUUAGUAUCAUGUAGUUUUGCACUUUAUCACUUUAGUAACCUGUGGUUUCACACUUAUCACUUUAGUACUCUGUGAUUUAAAAACCACAGAGUACUAACUUGAUGUAAAAUUAAAACCACAGGAUACUAAAGAGAUAAAGUGUAAAACCACAGGGUACUAACUUGAUACACUUUAAACCACAAGGUACUAAAGUGAUAAAGUGAGAAACCACAGGGUACUAACUUGAUACAUUUUUUAACCACAUGGUACUAAAGUGAAAAAAAUUGAAACCACAAGGGGGGUUUUUGAAGUUUUCCCUAAAUUUUACAAUAAGAUUUUAUAAAAAUAUUAAAAUAGAAAUUAAUCGCAAAAGAACAAUUAAAAUACUACACUUUGAACUAUAAUAAGGUGUUAGUUAACUGAGAAUUAAGUAUAAAUUAACAUAAGGAUCUUUUUGAAAGAUCCCGAAGAUGUGGGGGCCAAGUAAUAAAAUAAUAAAUUAGUGACGUGGCGGAACGUGGUUGGUUAGUGCCUUCACCGGGUGUUACCGCACCCGGUUGUCUCCAUGUGCGGUGUGGUCACUGCCCGGUGAUUUUAAGAAAUGGUGUUUCGCGUAGGUUAAUAAUAACAAUAUAUGAAAACCACCUCAAUUAUAGAUUAUUUUGUAAAGGAGUCCUCAACUUUAUUACCUUUUGAUUUACAAUCCCUUUAGCUCGGGGAUGCAAACGGAUUCGGGUUGGUGGGGCUCCCGCCCCGAUCCGCUCCUAAUGCGGCAGUAAACGGAAAUAAAUAAAAGGAUUCGGGGCAGAGAAUGGGGUAGUUUUUAUGAUCCGAGAUGGAUUCGGAAUAGAAAACAAAAUUUUUUUUUGACCUGCUCCGAAUCCGUCUAGAAAAUUAUUUAUAUUUUAAGAAAAUAUCUCUAAAAAAUAAUAUAUUUAUAAAAAAGUUCAAAAUACAAAUAAGUUGAUGCUUUCAUUUUUCAUAUAUAUAUUUGAAAUUUUUAAAGUUUGCUUCGAAUUGUGAUUGAUAUUUUUUAUUUUUAUAAUUGAUAUUAUUAAUUUUAUAUAUAACUUAGUAAUAUUAUUCAUUAUUAUUAGAAAAAUAUUAACUUAUAAUUUACAAAAUAUUAAUAAUAUUAUAAUAUAUUAAUUGGUGAGGUGGAUUCGGGUGCCGGCGGGCGGGACGAAUUAUGAAAUAUAUUUUUUAACCCGUCAUGGAUUCGGGACGGGAGGUAGGGCGGGAUUUUGGUAGUCGGGGCGGGAAGUAGAGCGGGACUUCCGCCCCAUAUCUGUUUUGUUUCCAUCCCUAGUUUAGCUUUUAUUUUUUUUAUUUGAGUAAUUCCAGUUAUUUAAGUUAAAAAUUUUAUUAAAUUUAGCGGUUCAAUUAGGCAAUACCAGAUAAUUGUUCCGGAUUCGUUUACUACCAAAUAAUUAAAAAUAUCAAAUUUGAUAAAAUCAUCAAAACUUUGAUAAAGUUUUUGGUUAAAACUAAUUAAUUUUGGGGGAAAAAAUGCAAUUCAACAAUAGGUAACAAAUUACCGACUAUCCCUAGAGCAAGUGACAAAGAGCUUGGUGGUUGGUAUCCGAGUUUUCAAAUUCGAAUCCUAAUUUAUUAACAUUUCCAGCUAGGUUUAUUUCUAAAUGAAAUAAACGAAGCGGGUAGCGUGCUACCUAUUUCUUAAAAAAAAAAAAAAAAACAAUAGGUAACAAAUUAUCAUGACUAUCUAAUGGUAUAUGGUAAAUAUCAAUUUAGAUUAUUAGUGUGUGCAUAUAUAUAGUAUUUAAAAAAAUAUUUGAAAAAAUUAUAUAUAGAUGCAUAUAAUAGGUUUUAUAUACAUGUACACAAGAAUUUAAGUGUCUAUCAGUACAGGUCGUAUCUACCGUGCUGUGUCGUGCCAAUCAGUUAUCGGCACAAUACAAGUCCCGUACCGAUGGCACAGCUUAAAACCCUUAAUUCUUUAAAUUAAUAAAUAAUUUGCUGAAUAAAGUUCAAAAGAUUUGAUAAAAAUAUAUAAUAAACAAUUAGAAUAUUACGUUGCUAAAAAAAAUAAAUAUUUCAUACUAUUAUGUGUCGGCACACAUGAUUUUUUUUUAUGACCGACACGUAUUGGUAUGGCCCGGCAUAUACUGUGCCGUAUCAUGCCAGCAAAUUUUCGACACGACCCCGUAUCAUGGCACUUAAAUCCUUACAUGUAUAAGUAAAAAUUAUAACCUCGUCGGAUUUUGAAUUUUUAUUCAUGAUAAUCGAAACCAUAGCCGUUUAAGACACCCCUAGAACUAAGCGGGUGUCAAUUAAAAAAAAUAAUAAUAAAGUUGAGGAGUGUUUUUCAAAGUUACUGCAGUUGAGAGGGCCUCCAUGCAUUUUUACCAUAUAGCUUUGUCCUUCUUAUUAUUAUUCUAGUAUAUAUUAUGAGAAUAUUCUCCCAAAAAUUGCGUUUAUUCUGAAGCUACAGUUUCUAAUAACGCACCUAUGCUUUAUAUGGAAAUUUAUACUAAAAAUAAUUUCUAGUUUUUCAAUAUUUAUAUGCAAUUUUUUUUAGUUUUUAGUUUUUAUUUCGUAAAAGUUUAAUACUCAACUUUUUUUUUCUGGGAAAUUUAAGAAUACACUAUUAACACUUUGGUCCUUCAUGGAAACACCCAAAUUACAAACAGUUGGUUUGUAUCUAUUUCCACUUAAUAAAUUUAAUCCAAUAUAUACACUUGAUAUGUGAUAAAUUCAAACCAAAAAAAAAAUGUGAAAAUUAAAAAUAUUGUGCAUAUAUAUAUAUAUAUACUAGAAAACAAUAAUUAAUUGCUUGUGAUAUGUACAAAACAUGUCCAGCUAUUCAAAGCAUGGGCUAAUGCAAAUGGUGCUGUACGUGUCCUGUUAUGCAAAUAAUAUUUUUAUGCCAUUGUACCUGGAAUGAAUGUGAUGCUCCAUUUCUCAAAGGUUAGCUAUUUUAGAAUUAUUCCAGUCUUAGCACGCUUAAUCUAAAAUACUAUAACUGGAUUAAGAGAUUUAAUUUUAUUAUACGUCAUUACUAGGUAUAAGUACAUGUACAAAUAUCGAACGAUGUGAGACUUAUUUCGCUAGCUUUAGCUGACUUACGGUCGUCGAUCGGAGAGCUGCGCCCUGUCAUCUAUAUGACCCUAAUUGACUUUAUGGGAAGCCACGCUUCACCCAUACCAAUCGUUAGAUGGAAAAACACGUUCUAUCCGCUGGAUAUAUGAACUUAAUUUAGCGGAGACUUAUAUUAUACUUCUAGCUAAUAAUAGACUUUAAUAUUUGACGUGACGCCGCGCUUUCCAAAAAGAGGCCACUCAUCCUAGAACUAUUUUAACAUUAACACACUAAAUCCUGUUAAUCUCUUGGGCCUAAUCACUGUCCAAAAUAUUAUAUCGCCCGCUGCUUGUAAAAAUAGUCUUAUAUAUAAGAUAUAAUAAGGCUAAACCUCUUGAUCUGGCUAUAGCCGGUCGUUAAUCUCAAGAGGUUAAGAGAGUUAACAGUGUUAGAGCUAAAGUAGUUGUAAGAGAGGUGACCACCUGGGAAGCAGGGCAUCACAGACGGAAUAAGAGAUUUAAUUCUAUUAUAUUAUAUAUAUAUAUAUAUAUAUAUAUAUAUAUAUAGUUAUAUAUAUAUAUAUAUAUUAUAAUAUAUAUAUAUAUAUAUUUAUAUUAUAUAUAUAUUGUAAUUAGUUGGGAGUGUCACAAUGAAAUUGUUCUUAAUACAACCUUAUAAUUCUUCACCCUUUGAUAACACUUUUUUUUUUUUUACCUUUACUUUCUAUUCUUUAUCUACUUUUUAUGAAUGUUAGUGCCUUCGUUUUUCGAGCUUAACUUAUAGCUAGGAUAUCACAGAACUUUUUUUUUUAAAAAAAAAUAGUCUAAGUUGAAAUUUAUAUUUAUAAAAAUUGAUUUGUCAAAAUUUUAUUUGUAAAAAUAGGUUUAUAAACAACUAAGUGUAUAUGAGCUGAAAAAAAAUAUAAUAAUUGUUUAUUUUAUUCUGAAUGUGGCAAAUUUUUUUUGUAUUUCAAUAGCUGGCGAACCGUUGUUGAAUUUUAAAUGUGGUAAAUAAUUUAUUCCCUUUUUUUAUACUCCACUCGCUAUAUAUCUUGCUCUUUGAUCUAUGCUCCACAAAAAAAAAAACUUUCCAAAUAUCAAUUAAUGUUAGAUCCGAAGCCAGAGAUACAAGCCCAAAAUUUAAAAACACGUGGGGUUCGAACCUUUUGACCUAAAGAUCAACAUUCUGGUACCUUAUUAGUAGACUCAGCGAUUUCGUAAGAUGUAUACUUUGGAAAAGUAAGAUGAUUUACUAUUGCAUCGAUUUAUAAAGAAAAGAAGAACAUAUAAUGAAAGAUCCAUAAUUAAUGUAAUAGAAAUCUAGGGUUUAAAAUCAAAAUUGAAUCCGAAAAGUUGCUCAAAUUAGGUUUUAAUUUGGACCUGGAUUGUUAUUUAGGCCCAAUCAAAGCCCGGUCCAAUAACGCCCUGUCGGGCCGACCCAUGUACAUGUUUUGUCCUAUGAGUGGUUCCAAACUUACCUAGGGCAUUCCUCUGAUUUUUUAUCUCAUAAAAAUGUUUUCACAUAAAAUCAUCACAACAUGAAUUCCUAUAUUUAAUUGUUCAAGUCACUAGAUUUGAUGUAAUUAAUGAUACGUUUAUUUGAAUUCUCCAAUUUAAUUAACUAAAUUCACUUGAUUGAAAA
rnacentral:lncRNA from 1 species